rnacentral:lncRNA from 1 species
GUGUCAUCAAAUUUGAACCCUCUGCUGAUGGAGGUUCAAUCUGCAAAACCACUAACACAUACUACCCCAAAGGUGGUGCUCAGAUCGGUGAGGAACACCUCAAGGGAGGAAAAGAGAUGGGUUUGGGAAUGGUUAAGGCUGUUGAGGCUUACCUCCAUGCAAAUCCUACUGCCUACAACUAAUUAUAAUGAAUGCUACUGAAGGACUCUUCGACAUAUUUUCUUCAAGAUUGAAGUACACACUGAGGGUGUGUUUCCUUUUUUGCUUGGUUUGCUUUAAGCUGUUUGGUUAAGUUAAAAACAAAAUUGAAUCAUAGAGAGAACAAAAAAAAUAUAGUGUUUCUUAUGGAGAAAAAAAUGGAGCUGAUGCCUAAAAUCUCACAUGGAUCCAACAAGGAUAUGCUCAAAGUUGGAAAAAUGUGCUAUAAUUAUGAUUACUCCUUUAUGAAAUAAAGCUGAAAGCAGCUCAAUUUCUUUUUGUUUUCCAUAUUAUUCAAUUUCGUUGUCGAUUUUUGAUAGUUGUAUUUUUUUUAUUGCUUUAAUAAGGGCUAUGAUUGGAUAUCCUGUUAUGCCAUUGGCUGUCGAUGCUAAACCUGAUAAAUUAGAUGGAUCAUCCAAAUAAAGACAAAAUUGGCUAUGUAAACAUUGGUGAGGGACUAUUUCAGCUUAAGAAAAAUAGUUGAGGGACUAAAUUGGCUUAUAAUAAAAUUAGGGACUACUUCAGCUUUGUAAAAAUAGUUGAGAGACUAAAUUGACUCAUAAAAAGUUUAGGGACUAUUUUGACAUUAACGAAAUAGUUUUGAGACUAUAAACAUUAGGUCACAAUGUUGAAAUAUCAAAACCCAUGUUUGGGACCAAAACUCAUAGAACUUCUUCACGUCGCUAGCGAAAUUUGAUUCUGAAGUAAUGCUAAUUUUAUUUAUUAUUUGUUUCCUUGCUGGUCUUCUGUCUUUUUGGUUACAAUAUUAAAAUGUAUCCAUAAUUUUCAAUUCCAAAAGUGUUGAAUAUUUAAACGAAUUCUAGAAAGGGCACUGAGAGUCAAAAUCUUAUUCAAACAGCCAGCCAUCUCAGAGUACAUAUUUUUUUAUUAUCAGGUUCAAAAUGUAUCUAUUGCAAUUUUUGAAUGAUCAGCCAUGACUAAGAGAAUAAAAUAAUUCACUUGCUGUUUUUAGAUGUGAAUUCAUGACUGUCAGUAGUCUAUAAAUACACUUAUUGCUCACCACUCUUUGCACCGCAAAAUCUUUUCAAGAUCUAUCAAACCCUCCUGUUCUUGAUCUUUGUCCAUUUGUGAAAAAGCAAAUUAAAGCAUCAUGGCCUCUAUCACUUGUAGUGCUGAGAUGACCUCCCCAAUCCCUCCUGCAAGGUUGUUCAAGGCCGCCAUCCUUGAUGACCACCUUCUUCCCAAGAUCAUGCCACAGGCUAUUAAGAGUGGAAAUCCUUGAAGGAGAUGGUGGAGUUUGAACCAUUAAGUUGAGCACAUUUGGUGAAGGUUAGCAGUUAUAUUAAAUGUAGAACCCAAAUUUUAAGGAUCUAAUAAUAAUCAAUGCGUGCAGGGUUACAGAAUUGGAGGGAUAAAAUAAAUACUCAAAAUAUACGUGGAAGAAAAGAAAAUAAUAAAUUCAACUCAUAAUAUUAUUGAAAUUUCAAACAAUGAAGAAAAUCAUACCACAAUAAAUUCAGCUGGUUCUAAUAAUAAUCAAAGCAUACAAGGUUGCAGAAUUAAAAGGAUAAAACAAACACUCAAAAUAUAUGUGGGAGAGAAGAAAAUAAUAAAUUCAACACACAAUAUUACUGAAAUCUCAAACAAUGAAAAAAGUCACACCAUAAUAGAAAACCUUGCUAAUUCUUCUAGAUUCUUUCUCUUGAGAAACCAACCUAAAUAAUGUCCUAUUUAUAAUCUACCAAACUUGUUAGGAAAGAAACCACUUGCAUAAGAAAUUACCAAAUAAAACAGAAAUUCCUAAAUCACACAACUACUAAAAACAUAACUCAAAUAAAACUAAAAAUAAAUAAAUAUUUCUUGGCUUAGUUUAAUUUGUCAACAUUGCCUCCCUUAAACCAAACUAUCCAUUGAGAUAGGUUCAACACCAUCUCGAGCAAUAAUUUCUAUGUUGUAGUACACUUGACAUGAAACUCUAACUUGUUACCAGUUAUUAAUUUCAUUUUUACAUGUAACAAUGGACGCACUAUGUAUUUUGUAAAAAAUUUCUCAGCAAUUUCUUCUUGAUCAAAGUACUCACUUAUACAAACACAUUCAUCACCAGAAUCACCAUAUUUACCACCAAUGUAAGUGCCUAAAAAUACAAAAUCAUAGAUUGCUUUCUGGCUAAAAUUAUCAUCACCAAAUAAUUCAAAAUAACCACUACUACAAUCAUCCAAAAUUUUCAUACUGUCAGUCAACUCUUUUGGAGUAAAGUAUUUUUCAACUCCGAUGACAUCCAUAUCUAUCAAAUCAAACAUUCUCCCAUGACUUUGAAGAGAGUCCGCAACCAACGAAUUUUUCAACAACAAUUUCAUGUUCUCUUCUCUUAUCAAAUCAAAAUUUUCUUCUUCUUUUGUCAAAUUACCAUUUUAUUUUUUUCAACAAAUUCAUUACUUCUAAUUUCUCCAAACAAGGUACGCAAAUCAAAACUAUCAAUUGAUUCAAAAUUUUCAAUAUCACCCAUAUUAUCAACAAAUCUAUCAUUUUUAAAAUCCACAAACUAAUUCCAACAACUAGACUUCGGUUUGAAAGCAUAAUUUCUCUCAAUCGUGUGCAAAACAUAGUAAAUAUUCUUCCAAAAUCUCUAAAGUAUUUUAGUACAACCAAUAAAGGUUUUAUAAAUACUUUUUGCCAUUAAUUUAUGCAUCACUUGAAAGAAUAAUUGUGCCUUUUUCUUAAAAACAUGUUUUGCCAACUUACUUGCGUCAACCCAACAAAGAAUAUCAUCCAAAUUACAUUGUUUGACAUAUUUUUCCACUGUUAAAAUCCAACCAAAUAUGUAUGUAUAUUUGUGCUUAUAGGAGUCAAUAUGAAAAAUUUUUCACCGUCAAUCAGAUCUUUAUAAUAUUCCAUUAUUUAACAAUUUGUAUACCUGAAUAAAUUUUUUUCCUCCAUCCUGUCAUGUUUUCUUGGCCUCCCUGGUUGACUAACCAAAUUAUUGUUGUAUGUAUACCCAUGCUCGUCAAACCUCAUUCGUGUACACUCGUAAGGAGUGGUUCUGAGCUUAUUGUGAAUGCUCAGUACCAAGAAGUAGAAGAGAGAAUGCAUAAGAGAGAAUUAACUUGGCUAAAGAAUUAGGAAACAAUUGAGGGAUUUUUUAAGAAAUUAAUUCUCCAACUGCCACUUUUGGAAAUUUUCUAUCAACAACUAGUUACCAAAACACUAGCACAUAGUAAGAAAUCUGGAUAAUUUCAGAAACCUCCCUUGAGGCUUUUAAUAAUCUCGAGAAGCUCCCCUCAAUUUUUAAAAUUGCACGUACCAUCCCUAUUGGUGCAAAAGUACUCUACUACCCCUAAUAGGAUACUCAAAAGACUUUUUUUAUGGGAAAAAAGAAGGCCAGAAAUCCAAGCGAAAACAAAAAAAAUCAAUUUAUUUUCUCUUUUAGCCUUUUACGCUUUUGCCUUCUACCUUUGCUCACUUUCCCAUGCCAAUCUUCCUAUAACCACUUUCCCAAUCCCCUUUCCCCAACUUUUCUUCUCUACUUCAAGACCAAUUUUUGUCCAUCAAUCCUGGCUUGUGCUUUGUUCCAUUCCCUUCCCUUCUCCUUCUUUGAUUUCCCCUAUAUCUCCCCUUCUCUUUGCAAAAGUGACUAGGCUCAUCUCUCUCCUUUUUUUCCCCAUAUUUUAAGUGUAGUGGGUUUGAUUAUUUUGCAUCUAUUUUAUUUGAUUUUGGUUGAUUAUGGGUGAUAAAACUUGGUGAUGUCACAUAUUAAAAGUUUGAUAGAUGGAUAUUGGGCUUUAGACAAUGAUUUGCUGAAAAAAAUGGCCGCAAUGAGAGGAAGAGGCAAAGGGAUUUGAGUGUGGGGUUGAUUGUUGAUGAAUUGUUGUUUUGGAAAAAAUUUGAGGUUGAGUUUUAUCAAAUUUGGUAGCAAGUGGCGAGAUUUGUUCAGGUUGCGGGAAAUAAAUUGGUUUGUGGUUUCUUGGGCACCCACAGUCGUUGGAAUUGGUUUUGAUUCAAAUUAGGGUGGUUACUUGAUUUUCCUAAUAGUGUUGCUUAAAAGCACACGAUCAUCAAAAUUCCUUAUUUUUAUCUUUUAUUUUUUUUUUGUAGAAAAGAUUUCAUGACUUUCGUGAUAGUCUAAUUUGGAAGAAGGCAAUCAAGGGAUGCAAUCAACAUUUAGCAAAAGCUCUUGUUCUUUUCUUUGUAAUUUUUAGGGUAAAAAGGGUUGUUUAGGGUAUUUGAAGGAAAUGAUAGUCUAUUGGGUCUAUUUUGAAGCAUAAAUAGUGAACGUAAGGGAGGUUGGUGUUAUUUCUGAAACCUAAGGGAAUUGUCUGAAAUUGUCCGAGACCUCGGAGGAGGUUUUCAAAAUUAUCCGUAAGAAAUCAAAUGCGAAACUUGAUUCGUACACGCACACACGACACCACACCACGUCACGCGUGUGUUGAGGACUGAUGUCCGUAGCCAACGACAAGCAGGUUUUCAAUUUUUUUUUCCUUUCCUGGAUUCAGAGAUGGUGUCAGCUUCUAUUAUUGGUGAGCAGGAGGAAAUCCACAAUAUACAGUACACAUCACCCAUAUUCUUUUUAAUUGAACAAUGUAUGAAAUUAUGGUGAUUCGAAAUUAAAUUAUAUGUUUAUUGGACAACGAAUCCAAAAUAAGAGUUGGAAAUGUAUUGUGACAACAAUUGUUAACUUUGGCCACAAAUGAUCAAAAUAAAUAUUUAAGGUUUAAUAUGACAUUAUGGGUUCAAAAUAUAGUUACUUGUUAUGAAACAACUAAAAGUGCGGAUGCCCAUUUGUAUUCUCAAAAGGAUCAAUUCAUAAUUCAUUGCUCCCAAGAUGAUUAAUUCAUAAUUCAUUGCUACAUUAUGUAAAGAAAUUACAUUGGAUGAAUGGUUUCAAUCCAUAAGAGCUAUUCAUGUAUUGGAUGAACCGUUUCAUAUGGCUAUUCAUGUUCUUGUAGUAAUGAGUGUUUAAUAGAAUUGAUGUACCUUUAAUUUUAUAGUACCUAUACAUAGAGGUACCUGGCACCUCUUCGGUGUACUUUUUGAUUAGUUGGAAUAAUAAGAAAAUCAUUCUCCAUUUCUGUACUCUUUCACUAAUAUUUCAAUUCCUAUUAUAGUAGUUCAUUUUUUUUUAGUUUUACAACACGUUAUCAGUACGAGUCUCUCCUUUUAAACAAAAAGGUGAAAACGGAGCCUCUACCUUAAAAAAAAAGUGAAACACGAGAUUUUGCCGAAAUUCUGCCGUAUUUUUCCAGUAACUUCUGUCUACUUAUUGAGAAAUGGAUGCCAAAUAUUUGGGAUUAAAUGAUGGUGAUGAUGACAUUUGUCUCAUUGAUAGUGCUACUACGCGCACUAUAUUGAAAAAUAAAAAAAUUUUCUUGUAUGAAAAUGGGAGAGACAAAUGUUAAUAUCAUAAGUGGUAGUGCAAAAUUGAUUGAAAGAUUCGGAAGAGCCACUCUAUUUCUUCCUAAAGGGACUAAAAUUGUCGUAAAUAAUGCACUAUUGUCUCCCAAGUCUCGGAGAAAUUUAUUGAGUUUUAAAGAUAUCCGCAAAAACGGAUAUCAUAUUGGGACAAUGAUUGAGACAAAUGGAAAAUUUUUAUUAAUCACAAGUAUCAUUUCUAGACAGAAAUACGUAGUAGAAAAAUUACCUUCUUUUUCUUUUGGCUUAUAUUAUGCACAAAUUAGUGCAAUUGAAAUUUAUCACCUAGUAAACCAAAAGUCUAUUCAUCCCAAUAAUUUUAUCAUUUGGCAUGAUCAUUUCAGAAAUCUUGAAUCUAUAAUGAUGAGACAAAUAAUCGAGAAUUCACAUGGUCACUCAUUGAAAAAUCAAAAGAUAUUAAAAGCAAAUGAAUUCUCCUGUGUUGCUUGUUCCCACGGAAAAUUUAUUAGACCAUCACCAGCUAAAGUUGGGACUGAAUCCCCUACAUUUCUAGAACGAAUUCAUGGUGAUAUAUGUGGAUUAUUUCGAUAAUUUAUGGUGCUAAUUGAUGCAUCAUCUAGAUGGUCACAUGUAUGUUUAUUAUCUACUCCCAACCUGGCGUUUGCGAGUUUGCUUGCUCAAAUAAUUAAAUUGCGAGCACAAUUUUCAGACUAUCCAAUAAAGAAAAUUCAUCUAGAUAAUGCUGGUGAAUAUUCAUCACAUACUUUUGACGAUUAUUGCAUGUCCAUUGGAAUAACUGUUGAACAUCUUGUAACUUAUGUUCACACACAAAAUGGUCUAGCCGAAUCAUUUAUUAAACGGCUACAAUUAAUUGCUAAACCAUUGUUGAUGAGGUUUAAACUACUUUCAUCUGCUUGCGAACAUGCUAUAUUACAUGCAGCAACACUUGUGAGAAUUAGACCGACAAGUUAUCAUACUUAUUUUUCCCUACAAUUAACUUUUGGUUAUGAAUCCAAUAUUUUUCAUUUAAGAAUAUUUGGUUAUUCAGUUUGUGUUCUAAUUGCACCGCCCCGACGUUGUAAAUUGGGCUCGCAAAGAAGAUUGAAAAUAUAUGUCGGGUAUGAAUCACCUCUAAUUAUUAAGUAUAUGGAACCAUUGACAGAUGAUUUAUUUAUUGCGAGAUUUGUAGAUUGUCAUUUUGAUGAAUCAGAUUUUUCAACAUUAGGGGGGAGAUAAAAAUCAACCGAAAAAGGAAAUCACUUUAAAAAUAUCAUUGAAUUUUCUCGAUUCUCGUACAAAAGAAUGUGAACUAGAAAUUCAAAAGAUUAUACAUUUGCAAAAAAUUACAAAUCAAUUACCGGAUGCAUUUAAUGACUCCAGAAGAGUUACUAAAUCACAUAUUCCUAUUGAAAAUGCUCUGAUUAAAAUUAAUAUCCUUGAAGGACAAAUUACAAGUGCUAAUGAGUCUAAAGUGCGCCUGAAGCGUGGGAGAUUUCUUGGUUCCAAAGAUAAAAAUUUUCGAAAGAAAAGAGGAGUACAUGAAUCAACAAUUAAUGACAAAAUUUAACCUCCUGAAGAGAUCGCUCCUAAAGAGCCAAUUCUUGAAGAGAAUAAAAUCAUAGAAAAUUCAAUAAAUUUUGUCACUUCAGGGAAAAGUUGGAACCGAAAAGAAAUAAUUAUUGAUAGUAUUUUUGUAUAUAAUGUAGCACUUGAUAUUAUGGUAGAGAAUGGGGAUUACGAGCCUAAAUCGAUUGAUGAAUGUCGACGUAGAAAUGAUUGGCCAAAAUGAAAAGAUGCGAUCCAAUUUGAAUUGGACUCACUGGUUAAAAGAAAAGUUUUUGGACCUGUAGUCCAAACACCUGAAGGUGUGAAGCCAGUAGGAUAUAAAUGGGUAUUUGUGAAAAAAAAAUGAGAAAAAUGAAAUCGUGAGGUAUAAAUUAAUACUUGUAGCCAAAGGAAUUUCACAAAGGCCUGGAUUUGAUUAUGAUUACACGUAUUCACUUGUAGUGGAUGCUAUCACAUUUAGAUAUCUUGUGAGUUUUGCAGUACAUGAAAAAUCAGAUAUGCAUCUAAUGGACGUCGUUACUGCAUAUUUAUAUGAAAAUCUUGAAAAUGAUAUUUAUAUGAGAAUUCCCGAAGGAUUCAAUAUGCCUGAAACAUGCAAAUCAAAUCUUAAAAAUAUUUAUUUAAUUAAAUUACAAAAGUCUUUGUAUGGAUUCAAACAAUCUGAACGUAUGUGGUACCGCCUUAAUGAAUGUUUAACUAAAGAAGGCUAUACCAAUGAUCCAAUAUGUCCAUGUGUCUUUAUCAAGAAAAAUGGAUCAAAUUUUGUGAUAAUUGUUGUAUAUGUUGAUGAUCUAAAUAUGAUUGGAACACCUGAAAAGAUUCAAAAUAGUGUUGAAUAUUUGAAAAAAAAUUUGAGAUCAAAGAUUUUGGAAAAAUAAAAUUUUUCCUUGGUUUACAAAUUGAGCAUUUGAAAAGUGGAAUUUUGUCCACCAAACUGCUUAUACCCGGAAGGUAUUAAAGCGAUUUUAUAUGGAUAAGUCACAUACAUUAAGUAUUCCAAUGGUCAGAUCAUUAGAUCCUAAUAAGGACCCUUUUAGACCGCGAGAGGAAGAUGAAGAGAUACUUGGUCCUAAAGUACCAUAUCUCAGUGCAAUUGGUGCACUACUGUAUCUUGCUAAUUGUACAAGACUUGAUAUAUCAUUUACAAUAAAUUUAUUAGCAAGAUUUAUUUCCUCGCCCACAAGACGACAUUGGAAUGGUAUUAAACAUAUUUUUCGUUAUCUUUAAGGAACAAAUUGAUCUUGGCUUAUUUUAUUCAAAUAAAUCUAAACUUGAAUUGCUUGGUUAUGUUGAUGUUGGAUAUUUAUCUGAUUUGCAUAAAGCAAGAUCUCAGACUGGUUAUCUAUUUACAUAUGGAGGUACAACCAUUUCUUGGCGAUCUAGAAAGCAAUUAUUAGCCGCCACUUCAUCGAAUCAUGCUAAAAUAAUAGCAAUUCAUGAGGCUAGUCGAGAAUGUGUUUCGUUAAGAUCAAUGACCUACUAUAUCCGGAAGAGUUGUGGGUUAUCCUCUGAAAAAGAAAAUCCUCCGACUAUAUUUUAUGAAGAUAAUGCAGCUUGUAUAGCUCAAUUGAAAGGAGAAUAUAUUAAAGGAGAUAGAACGAAAUAUAUUUCACCAAAAUUCUUUUUUACUCAUGAUUUACAAAAGAAUGGUGAAAUUGUUGUGCAACAAAUCCGAUCAGAUAAUAAUUUGAUAGAUUUAUUUACUAAUGUAUUGCCGACUGCAAUAUUUGAGAAAUUGGUGAAGAAUAUUGGAAUGCGACGACUAUAAAAUCUCAAAUGAUAUUUGCAUCAGGGGGAGAAAUCAAUACACAAGAAUAGUGUACUCUUUUUUUUUCACUAGAGUUUUUGUCCCGUUGGAUUUUUUCCUAGUAAGGUUUUAAUAAGACAUAUUCUUUGUGUAAUUAAUAUCCAAUGGGGAGUGUUAUGAAAUAACUAAAAGUGUGGAUGUCCAUUUGUAUUCUCAAGAAGAUCAAUUCAUAAUUCAUUGCUCCCAAGAGAAUUAAUUCAUAAUUUAUUGCUACAUUAUGUAAAGGAAUUACAUUGGAUGAUCGGUUUCAAUCCAUAAGAGCUAUUCAUGUAUUGGAUGAACCAUUUCAUAUGGCUAUUCAUGUUCUUGUAGUAACGAGUGUUUAAUAGAAUUGAUGUACCUUUAAUUUUGUAGUACCUAUAUAUAGAUGUACCUUAGCUGAUAGGUUGCAAUUUUAUCAUUUAUUUUAUAAUUAAUUUCUCCUAUUACCUGACUUGAUGUGGAUUAAUUGCGGGAUUCUACUCACUUUUAGUAUUUUGCAUUUAUUUCAGGGAGUAGAGCGAAAAUAUAAUAACAGGUGCUAAUUUGACAAAAAAAGAGUCCAAGGCACAGAGCUUAUCCCGGGGGCAUUAUUGGCAAAGGAAGACUUUUGCCCAUUUUGGUAAUUUCAAAAGAAGAGAGCAGGGCAGAGGCCUCUAUUUUACUGGAGGCUGGAGCGCCGCACAAAGGGAGCUUCUUCUUCCUUCGGAGGCUCCGUCCUCUCCGCAAGGGGGCUGCCGCACACAGCAGCCAUUAGAAUAGGAGCAAUUGAUAUAUGACAGAGAAUGAGCACUAGCACCAGGGAGUUGCCUUUGUUGACUUUUCUUCCCUUUUAGUUCUUAGUAGUUGUUUUACCUUCCUCGUACGUAGGACCUUUAGCAUAGUUUCCUUUUGACUUUCCCUUGAGUCUUGGGUGGAUGUCUCCUGCGCAUGUCAGGAGCAAUUGAAGGUCUCGGUCACUUUCUGUAUUCUUCCAUCAACUGAGCGAACUGAGCUCCCUUGGUCAAGGGCAAUGGCUGCGGCUUCCUCUCCAACUUUGUGUGGGAUUCGUUCACCAGGAAUGAACUAAUUUUUCUUUUCUAGUCAAGGAACAACGGAGGUCUUGGUUGGCCUAAAUUUGUGAGAUCGAAUUAGUUUUUAUUUAUUUCCAUUAUUCACUGGUAUUUGUCUAUCUUCUGCUUUAUGUUCAUAUGGUUGUUUUAUUAUUCGAUUAUCCAGGGCCCGGAUACUAGAUUAAUUCAAUAACCUGAAGCCAAUUAGGAUAGUUAAAUCCGUAAUUGUUUAAUUAUUCUAAACUGCUGGCAACUGGCAUGAUUGGGUUUGUGUCAGGGGGAUAAACAUGCUAACUUAAAGAGACCCUCGUAGCGUGUUGAUUGGUUAGAAUUAGGCUCUUCUAAUUAUUCAUGCAAUUAGGGAAUUGAACUUCUAUGGUCGUACCUAGGGUUAUUUCCUGAUUAGAGAAAUAGUCAACGGUCGUACCUUGGCUAUCGACAAAUUGAGGAAGAGUUGGUUGUUUAUCGCGUGUAUGGCAACUAUAACUAAUUUAUCAGAUAGUAACUGGAAUAAUCCUUGCAUCUGUGAUCGAAUUAAGUGAACCAUCUCCGAAGUUGUCUCUUGGCUAGAGUUCGUCAAUUAUUAUUUUUAUUGUGAUAAUUAGUUAUUUGAGUUGUAGUUAUUUUAUUUUAUUUAUUCCAAGUAAUUUAGUUACUCUCAUUUUCAAAAACCCCCCAUAUCUGGAACUUGAGAAGAAAUUAAAUUAUCCCCAGUCCCUGUGGAUUCGACCCUGCUCACCGCUAUAUACAGAAUUUGUAUUUUAUUUGAGCAGGUAUUUAUUAUUGCACAGGUUCGGCACCUGUCAAUUUUUUGCUACAUUAUGUAAAGGAAUUACAUUGGAUGAUCGGUUUCAAUCCAUAAGAGCUAUUCAUGUAUUGGAUGAACCAUUUCAUAUGGCUAUUCAUGUUCUUGUAGUAACGAGUGUUUAAUAGAAUUGAUGUACCUUUAAUUUUGUAGUACCUAUAUAUAGAUGUACCUUAGCACCUCUUGGGUGUACUUUUUGAUUAGUUGGAAUAAUAAAAAAAUCAUUCUCCAUUUCUGUACUUCUUUCUCUAAUAUUUCAAUUCCUAUCACAGUAGUUAUUUUUUUUUAGCUUUACAACAUUACUUAAAUAAGAGAGUUAUUGGACUAUAUGUUUAUUGACCUCUACUAACUUAUUUAAGGUCAUUUCAUAUCACUAUCCAAAGAAGAAUUAAGGUCAUUUCAUAUCACUAUCCAAAGAACAAUUCUUGGGCGCUAACAUUUUUCUUACAUGACUAUUAAUGAAAGUUGACCCAAAUCUCUCUGUCUCUCUCUUUCUUUCAAUUCUUAGGACUGAUGCCAAUUCUUACCAUUUAGAAAGAAAAAUUAGAUUGUUUAUAUAUAUGAUGAGUUCCCUCUAAGUCAUGGUUAAGAAAAAUUCUUAGUUAAACGCAGUUUUAUGAAAUGUGAAUUUCCUUUUCUUUGUCUUUAUUCAUUAGUAUUAUUGGGGUUAUUGUAUUAUGAUUGCAAUGCACAGAUACAUGGAUUUUUGACAUUUUUUCUUUUUAAUUGACUCUGACUAUGCCUCAAACUCGAGACAUCAAACCUGGACACGACUUUUGUCCAAAAUGCUUGUAAAAAUUCAGAAGAAUAAUUUUGGACCUUAUUAUUUGAUAAUGGUACAAUUAUGAGAGUCAUUCCAGGUUAAUUAUCAAACUUGGAACUUGAAAAUAAUGUCGACAUCAUGUCAUUAUUAUUUUUUAGUUUCAUAGAAAAAUGAAGUAUUCUCCAACUCGACAUUAUCAUAGUAUUUUCAAUUGGCAGCUCAUGUGAGAAAGACAAGAAAUUCACAAUCAACUGGCCAAGAGAGUGCCAACAAAGAAAGCACUAAAUGGCUUAAACAAUGCAUGCAAAUUUGCUUGGCACUUAAACAAUAGACACCUAAAUCAACCAUGUCACUGUCUUGCCAAAAAAGGGCAUUAAAGUAAAAACAACUCAUGCCUACCACAGGUAACAAACUUCAGCACCUUCACUUCACUACCAUGUCAGCAACAACAUUUGCAAAUUUCCAAGGAAGUCCACGCACUAAAGGUGCCCAUGCCCUUAGGGGACCUCAGGUUAGUGUUCUUAACCUCAACUCCUGUCUUUCUGUUCUUAGGAAAUAUUGAAAUUAAACGUUAUAACUAAUCCUGAUUUCCUUGUGCUAUAUUUGUACACAAUUUGGCAACAAGGGUAAAAAAAAAUAAAAAUAAAAAGGUUUAUCUGCAAACUGUAGUUCGGCCUGGCUCUUUUUUUUUUUUUUUUUUUUGGGGAUAAGAUCAUCUCAGCACCCGCAGACCCCGUCAUGUAUCAAUAUUUCUGUACUUAGCAUUGGCUUCUUCUCGCCUGAAGAACACACGAACCACCGAAAUAGAUGGUGCAUGAAAGUGCACUUAACCCUUUUAAUUUUUCAAAACAAUCUUUUAGAAAAAAUAAUAAAAACUUUUUGAAUUUAAUUUUAGAGAAGAAGAAUUUUAAAAUUUUUUGAAUUUAAUCUUAGAGAAGAAGAAGUUUAAAAUGUACUUUAAUUUUCACAACUGAUGAUGAAAAUAGCAAAAUGUACACGGAUAGUGACAAAAGUGGGAUCACGGGCAGGAAAUCCUGAAGGUUGCGUGCAUUUUACACACGGCAUAAUUCUGUUUGUAUAUAGUGUAAUUUACUUUUUACAACGUGUAAUUUUAAAACAAAAUUUUGUAAGUCUCACACAUUUUAUUAAAAAUAAGGUACAAGAUGAAAUUUGGACCAUAUAAUUUUUUUUAAUCAAAUCUUGACCGUGAACUGCUCAGAAACGGUUUACCUGAUGACCGUCCCUGGUCCAAACCCGACAAAGGUGCCAUCUUAUCCUUUUACUGACUGGCCCGUUUUCCAAUGAGAGGGCCCAGAAGGGGUGCCUCUGCUUCAUAGUUUAUCCAUAUUGAUAUUUCUUUUCUGUCCCCCUAACUAUUAAAUGUGAAAGGUUGCCCACCAAAUUUGACGAAACCGUUUAUCCUAAUUGAUUAUUAUCAAUAGGGCAUAACUUUAAUAUUCUUCUUCCAACCCUUUCUGGUGAUUCCUGCAACUCCAGCCGUCCGUCAAUGACCAUAAAGCACCAUUAACCGACAACUAACUAACCACUAUUAAUCUAUUCUCAAAUUUUAAUGAAAUUGCACAAUCUAUUCUCAAAUCAAAUUUGAACAACAUUUUAUAGUCGAUAACUUUGAAACUUGAUAAAAAAGUCUGUUUAAACUCGGUUUAGUAAAUAAACAAAUCAAGUUUGAACAAAAUUUUAAACUCAUUAAAAUAAUUAAACACGUUUGAAUAUUAGGGUAUUCGAUUUAAUUAGACACGUUUGUAUCCCUAAUUAAAGCAUGCACUUUUAUAAGUUUAGGAAUCAACAUUAUACAUUUAAUAGCUAGCUAGAGGGUCAAAAAGUUAAUUGCCUUAAAUUCUUUUAGCAGCCAUAAGGUACAGUUGGAGGGAUUCCCUUGAAAUUGGUUAGAUUCUUCUAUGUGACUAAAGAAUUUCGGGUGUGACGCAUUACUAGUCCUACCCUAAAAAAAAAUGGUAUUACUAGUCCUUUUUUUCUUUUUUGGCGUGCCCCCGUCGUGGGAUGUGGGGAGGGGAGUCUGUGCGAGAAUUCUAGGUCGGGGUACAAGGAGCCAAAGUUCACCUUAUUCAAAGUAAACAACCGUCCAUCUCAGUUGUCGACUUUCCUGUCGAUUGCGUAUAUAUAUAUAUUACUAUCUUUUACCAUGACUUUAGAGGAUAGCUAAUUUUGCUUGCUAUUAAAUAAUAAUUUCGGUAGUCUAUAAAUACUCUUGUUCCUCACCGCUCCUAGCACCACAUAAUUCCUUCAAGAACAGCCAAAACCUUCUUGAAAUCCCUCUUUUUCCUUCUAGUUCAUUUCCAAGAAACAAAUGGCCCCUGUCACUUCCAGUUAUGAGGUCACCUCCUCAAUCCCUCCUGCAAGGUUGUUCAAGGCCACCAUCCUCGAAGAGAAGCAUCUUCACAAGAUCUUGCCACAGGGCGUUAAGAGUGUCGAAAUCCUUGAAGGAGAUGGUGGAGUUGGCACAAUUAAGUUGACCACAUUUGUUGACGGUAAGAUAAUCAAUACAAAGUGAUUAUUUUCACACAUUUGAAGUCUUCAAAUUUUUCUCUUUUUUUCCCUUUUAUUUGGGAAAAACUAAUGACUUUUUUUUUUUGGUUGGGUUAAAUAUUUAGGUGGCGAGCAUAAGACUGCCAAACAGAGAGUUGAUGGAAUUGACAAAGAAAAAUUUACAUACAGCUAUACUGUACUUGAAGCUGAUGGAUUUAACGAUGUAAUCGAGAAAAUCUGUUGUGUCAUCAAAUUUGAACCCUCUGCUGAUGGAGGUUCAAUCUGCAAAACCACUAACACAUACUACCCCAAAGGUGGUGCUCAGAUCAGUGAGGAACACCUCAAGGGAGGAAAAGAGAUGGGUUUGGGAAUGGUUAAGGCUGUUGAGGCAUACCUCCAUGCAAAUCCUACUGCCUACAACUAAUUAUAAUGAAUGCUACUGCAAGGACUCUUCGACAUAUUUUCUUCAAGAUUGAAGUAUAAACUGAGGGUGUCUGUUUCCUUUUUUGCUUGGUUUGCUUAAGCUGUUUGGUUAAGUUAUUCGCAGCAAGAGAAUAAAAUAAUUCAUUUGCUGUUUUUAGAUAUGAAUUCAUGACUGUCAGUAGUCUAUAAAUACACUUAUUGCUCACCACUCUUUGCACCGCAAAAUCUUUUCAAGAUCCAUCAAACCCUCCUGUUCUUGAUCUUUCUCCAUUUGUGAAAAAACAAAUUAAAGCAUCAUGGCCCCUAUCACUUGUAGUGCUGAGAUGACCUCCCCAAUGCCUCCUGCAAGGUUGUUCAAGGCCGCCAUCCUUGAUGACCACCUUCUUCCCAAGAUCAUGCCACAGGCUAUUAAAAGUGGAAAUUCUUGAAGGAGAUGGUGGAGUUUGAACCAUUAAGUUGAGCACAUUUGGUGACGGUUAGAUGUUAUAUUAAAUGUAGAACCCAAAUUUUAAGGAUCUAAUAAUAAUCAAUUAAUAAUAAUCAAUGCGUGCAGGGUUACAGAAUUGGAGGGAUAAAACAAAUACUCAAAUAAAUGUGGAAGAAAAGAAAAUAAUAAAUUCAACUCACAAAAUUAUUGAAAUUUCAAACAAUGAAAAAAAUCAUACCUUAAUAAAUUCAGUUGGUUUUAAUAAUAAUCAAAGCAUACAAGGUUAAAGAAUUAAAAGGAUAAAACAAACACUCAAAAUAUAUGUGGGAGAGAAGAAAAUAAUAAAUUCAACACACAAUAUUAUUGAAAUCUCAAACAAUGAAAAAAGUCACACCAUAAUAGAAAAUCUUGCAAAUUCUUCUAGAUUCUUUCUCUUGAGAAACCAACCUAAAUAAUGUUCUAUUUAUAAUCUACCAAACUUGUUAGGAAAGAAACCACUUGCAUAAGAAAUUACCAAAUAAAACAGAAAUUCCUAAAUCACACAACUACUAAAAACAUAACUCAAAUAAAACUAAAAAAUAAAUAAAUUUUUCUUGGCUUAGUUUAAUUUGUUAACAUUGCCUCCCUUAAACCAAACUAUCCAUUGAGAUAUGUUCAACACCAUCUCGAGUAACAAUUUCUAUGCAAAUCUAUGUUGUAGUAUACUUGACAUGAAACUCUAACUUGUUACCAGUUAUUAAUUUCAUCUUUACACGUAACAGUGGACGUACUAUGUAUUUUGUAAAAAAUUUCUCAACAAUUUCUUCUUGAUCAAAGUACUCAUUUAUACAAACCCAUUCAUCACCAGAAUCAUCAUAUUUACCACCAAUGUAAGUUCCUAAAAAUACAAAAUCAUUGCUUGCUUUCUCGCUAAAAUUAUCAUAACCAAAUAAUUUAAAAUAGCCACUACUACAAUCAUCCAAAAUUUUCAUACUGUCAGUCAACUCUUUUGGAGUAAAAUAUUUUUCAACUAUAAUGACAUCCAUAUCUAUCAAAUCAAGCAUUCUCCCAUCACUUUGAAGAAAGUCCGAACCAACGAAUUUUUCAACAACAAUUUCAUGAUCUCUUCUCUUAUCAAGUCAAAAUUUUCUUCUUCUUUUGUCAAAUUACCAUAUUAUUGUUUCAACAAAUUCAUUACUUCUAAUUUCUCCAAACAAGGUACGCAAAUCAAAACUAUCAAUUGAUUCAAAAUUUUCGAUAUCACCCAUAUUAUCAACAAAUCUAUCAUUUUUAAAAUCCACAAACCAAUACCAACAACUAGACUUCGGUUUGAAAGCAUAAUUUCUCUCAAUCGUGUGCAAAACAAAGUAAAUAUCCUUCCAAAAUCUCUAAAGUAUUUUAGUAUGACCAAUAAAGGUUUUAUAAAUACUUUCUGCCAUUAUUUUACACAUCACUUGAAAGAAUAAUUGUGCUUUUUUUCUUAAAAACAUGUUUUGCCAACUUACUUGCAUCAACCCAACAAAGAAUAUCAUCCAAAUUACAUUGUUUGAGAUAUUUUUCCACUGUUAAAAUUCAGCCAAAAUAUGUAUGUCUAUUUGUGUUUAUAGGAGUCAAUAUGGAAAAUUUUUCACCAUCAAUCAGAUCUUUAUAAUAUUCCAUUAUUUAACAAUUUGUAUACCUGAAUAAAUUUUUUUCCUCCAUCCUGUCAUGUUUUCUUGGCCUCCUUGGUUGACUGACCAAAUUAUUGUUGUAUGUAUACCCAUGCUUGUCAAACCUCAUUCGUGUACACUCGUAAGGAGUGGUUUUGAGCUUACUGUGAAUGCUUAAUACCAAGAAGUAGAAGAGAGAAUGCAUAAGAGAGAAUUAACUUGGCUAAAGAAUUGGGAAGCAAUUUAGGGAUUUUUUAAGAAAUUAAUUCUCCAACCGCCACUUUUGGAAAUUUCUAUCAACAACUAGUUACCAAAACACUAGGACAGCGAUCCGUCUCUAUUUUACUCUUCAAGUCUUCGCCGGGGAAGCAACCCGGCCUUGCGAGACUAUAAUGAAUAGGCACUUGCCUUCUGUUUUUACUUUUUUUUUGUUCAAAGACUAUAAUGCCCUUAUUAUUUGACUGCGCAUCUCGCAAGAUAAUGCUUUCCAUCAAAAUUAACUGUUGGGUUUGACAGAAGCGCCACGAAUAUUCUAUUUUAUUAGAUCCAGAGUCAAAAUUUUACCGUUAAUUGUUAGAGGGUUAAAACUUUAUCUGGAAAGGAGUUGGAGGGCCAUUGGAACUCUUUUUCCAAAAAAAAAAAAAAGUCACUUUUGUCAUUUGUCCAAGAACAGUUCUGGGGCCAUCUCGACAGUAUAUAUUUUUCUUACAUGCCAAGACAAUUAAUGAAAAUUGACCAAUAACACACGCACACACACACACACACACACACACUCUCUCUCUCUCUCUCUCUCUCUCUCGGUUGCUGCCAAGUCUUUCCAUUGAAAAAGGAAAAUUCAUAUUGUUUACAUAGAUAAAUUACCUCCAGUCCGUGGAAUGUCUUGAUGUUAGGUGAGUUCUAAUAUUUUGGUAUCAUCUAGAGGUGGCAAAUCAACCCACUUAACUAAAUUUACCCAUAUCCGCCCAUGAAUAGAUGGGUAUGGAUAUCUUAAAUUUUUGUAUAUGAGUAUAAAUGGGUUACCCAAUAAUACCCAUUUAAAUGGGUAACCCAUCAAACCCAAUUAACCCAUUUAGAAUUCUCUUCCCCUCAAGUCUCUUCUUUUCCCCCACCUUUUUUUUUUUCAAAUUUUUCAUUUUGUCAUGAUGUUAACUACUUUUGUUUUAUUAUUAUUAUUUGUUGGUUUUAUCUUAUUAUUUUAUUUUCUCUUAGUUUGUUAACUUACUCAUUUUUUACCAUUACCAAUUUAUGAUAAAUUUUAGCCUAUUUUCUUAUCUUUAUAAAAUGAAAUUUUAAAUUUAUAUAUGAAAAAAAUGUUAGGGGUUCAAAAAUUUUGGAUUAAGUUUUUAUAUUAAUUUUUAUAGUACUUAGUUCAAAAUUUUAUAUUCUUAUUAUUCAAUUAUUAAAUAAUAGGUAAUUUUGUGACAUAGAGUAUAAAUGAAAAAAAAUUGGUAAUUAAGUUUAUUGAACAUUAUAAGUAAAUAUUUAAAACUAAUGAUGGGUAUAAAGAGUGAUAUAAAUUGAUAACUUAGUUUGCAAAAAUGAAUUUAAAUGAGUUUGCAAAAAGUUAAAAUAAAUGGGUUAUAAAUGGGUAAUUGGGUUACCCAAUUCAUUUUUUGACUUGCCUAUUUAUACCCAUAUAAUUAAAUGGGUAUAAAUGAGUUGACUCACUUAUACCCAUUACCCAUUUUACCCAACUCAAACCCGCCCAAGUCACCCAUUUUGACACCUUUAGUAUCAUCUAAUGUUCAUUUGUGAAAGAUUGAGAAAUGAUAAAGAGCAAAACACCAAUUUAUUCCAUAAAUUAUUUUGCUAAAAUCAAAAUAGUCCAUAAAUUUUCUUUUGGCCAAAUUUUUGUCAUGAACUUUCAGAAACGGUUGCAGGGGAUUUCAUCCGGAUUGCUUGUGCAGUUGAGUAACUAUACAGAAAUUCUUUUUGGGAUGCUGAGUAUCUUAGGAUGGGUACAAUGAUCGCUUAGAUCAGUAGAGAUGAUUGAUGAUGUAGUAGGGGAAGAUUCCCUUUAUAAAGCUGAUUUUCUCAUGAUUAAUAAGAAUAUAAAUGUUACCAAAUUUUCUUUUCAAAUGUGUAACGAAAAUAUUGGCCAUGAUCAGCAAGACCUCCUUAAUUAUAAAAGUUUCUUGAAUGUCAUCAUCCAAUUUGUUUAAGCGAGGAUUUUUAAAUGCUAUCUUUAAGCAAAUUGAUUUUUGUAUUAUAGAUACUUACUACUAUUACUUCAUACCUAGCUACAAACCUCAUGUAUGUUUUAGUUUUAAUCCAGAACAAAUCAGGGCCACGGGCCACCUUGCACAUAGCGAGAGUGGAAAAAUAAAACUACACAAUUGCUUUUUUGAAGCCAGUGACUCAACUGAUUUUGCGCUCGGCAAUUCAUCCGAUUUUCAUUAAAAGGGCCCUAAGAGGCCAUUGGCGUUUUGGGCCUGUGAAAAUUUGGAUGAUUUGGUGUGUCCAAUGCAUGUGUAAGCACAAAUUUUGUUGUCUAAAAUAAAAGACAAGAAAACUUACAUAAAUAUCAAAUUUAUUAAAUUAAAUAACAAGAGGGUUACAAUAUUUGAAAAUUUUUGAAUCAAAGAAAUUAAUCUCCUAAUUUUUAUCUUCAAAAGGCUUUAAUCGGAAGGCCAAAAAGGCUUGUUCUCCGAUCAAGAGGGUGUUUUCUAUGAUUUCUAUGUAAAAAACGGCUGCUUUGAUGAUGACGUUAAUAUUUGAAUCUUUAAAUCUUCAACGCCGAUGGAAGGAGGAUUUAUUUAACUUAAUUUGGAUUUGGAUUUGAAUUUGAGGGAAAAAGCUCUCAAGAGAAUUUGACAAAGUUACUUUGAAAUUUAGGAAUUUUAAUGUAUUUUUGCCUUGAGGGAAGACCUUUAUUUAGAGUCAACAUAUGCAAGCUAUGUCUUCAAGAGAAUCCUUCAAAACCAUCUUGCGUUUGGGUAACUUGUACCUUAAGAAACCCAUUUAACUUGGAGUUAAAUAGUCGGCCGACCCAAAUAGUCAAUUGUGAAUUAACAAAUCAAUUAAAUCACUUUAAUUUAAAUGGGCAUCACAUUUUUUAUUUGAUUUAAUAGCUCAUAUAACAUUGGCUCAAUUUGUCAAUCCAAAACAUAAUGAACUUCUAUAAUUUAAUUUAAUUUAAUAAAAAUCAAUUUAAUUUACUUAAUCUUGCCUAAAAAUAAAUUAAAUAAAUUUUCGUUGUCUAUGUCCCCACUUCAAAACUUGGCAAGGCAUUGCAUGUUUAUUUGAAUUAACUUAAAACUUCUUAAUACGAUUCAUCUAAGCACCUUUAUAUAUAUAUAUAUAUAUAUAUAUAUAUAUAUAUAUAUAUUUAUUUAUUUAUUUAUAUAUAGAGGUACAGAAGACAUGUCUUUGUCUUGAAACUGUGACAAACAGGACACUUAAGACAAGGGCGUGUGAAGACUAUCGCACUAUUUGAGCGAAAAAAACCUGUUUUGCACGUAUAUUUUGAAGGUAAUCAUCUUUAUUGUCUUUUGACAACUUCAUGUUGGUCGAGUAUCAGAUAUUCACCAAAUUUUGUUGAAAUUUGUCAAAACUUGAUUUGUUUCCAAUUUGGAGAAAAAAAAAGAUUUUUUUCUUCGUUUCUGCAAUUUUCCAGGUCACUCUUUCCUAUCAACAUGUUACGAUUCAGAAAUUGAGACAAAUCUUGUACAUAGGAAUCUUUUUUAACAGCUGAUGGUUGGAAUUUAGCAGACACCUUGAAGUCAAAGAAGGCAAAUAGCAUUCCAAUAGCAUUAUUUGGUUGCAUGCCAUAUCCAAGAUUUUCACUAGUAAGCCACCAUUUUCUUGCUUUUGAUUGUUAUUCAUUCUCUGUUGCGCAAUUUUAUUUUCGCACAAUCUAUUUUUUUCGUUGAAUUUUCUCUUUUGCAAAACAGCGACCACCAAGGAAAGACAGAAAGAUUUUUUUGUUUUUGUUUUUGUUUUUGUUUUUGUUUUUUUUUUUAUGGUUGCACCUUGUGUUGGCACCCCUUAUUUGAAGCAAGUUGAUGUUCCAGUUGUGUUGGGGAUUUUAGGGCCAUAGCUCUUAGAACUCAAAAUACUAAUGUAAUUUCCGCACUCCAUGACAUUUACUUCUUGUCAAUGCCAAACUCUCCUCUUUUUUUUUGUGAUAUGAAAGGAAGAUCUCUCGUUGCAACAUAUAUGGUGGACACUCAAUUUGAAAGAAGGUGCAACCACCAACUUGCACGAGAGCCAUAUCAUGGUUUGAGGAGUAUAAUGAAAAUGAUGCAACUGCAAACUCUUAUGAGAGCCAUAUCAUGGUUGAGAAGUACAAUGAAGAUAGUGCAAUCAAAAAUUUGAAAAAGGUGCAAUCGCAAACUCCCAUGAGAGCCUAUCAUGGAUUGAGGAGUACAACGAAGAAUGUGCCACAAAAAGUUGAAAAAUGUGCAAUCGCAAACUCGCACGAGAGCCUAUCAUGGUUUGAGGAGUACAAUGAAGAAGGUGCAACUACCCACUUCAAUGAGAGCUUACCAAAACUCGAGAAGCCCUUUCAUUUAACUUCACAUUGACUAUUUAUUACUUCUCUCACUGUCUUCGAUCACACCAUUGUAAUCAAAUUUUUUUCUCUUGCUUUUGGUCCUAACGAAAUGGUGAUGGUCAAGGAAGUUACAUCUUCAAACAAAAGGCACCUCCUUAUCACUAAUAGCCAUGAUGACUCUGCUGACAAAGGAACGAAAUUAUUGGUGCAUCCCUCUAUACAAGAAAUUUACUCUGGUGAUUGGUUUUCUCACAAGUAUUCCGAAUUAAAGGAUUGGUCACUAAAAUUUUCUCAAGAUGAUGGUACGAAAGUUCACUCCUUGAAAUUCCUUAUCAUAAUAAGGAGCCAAGGACAAUUGGCAGGCGAAUCCUAGAUGAGACUAAGGGUGCAAACGAGGCAAGUCGAAUCGAGUUUUGAAGUUAUUGAGUCGAGUUACACUUAUUUAUAUGCGAGCUCGAGUUCGAGGUCGAAAAAUAGAGCUCGAACUCGGCUCGAUGUAGGAAAAGGAAAACUCGAGAUCGACUCGCUUAUGGCUCGCGAGUUUAGCUCGAAUUCUGGCUCGCGAGCAGCUCGAGUUUUGCUAGAUUUUCUGGCUCGCAUGAAGCUCGAAGUCAGCUCGAUUCUAGCUCGUUAGGAGCUCCAGUUCGAACUCGAAAACAGCUCGAUUUUCUGGAAAUUUAUGCAAGAAAACAGAAUUUUUGUCCGCAUAUUUUUGAUAAAAUUUGAGCAUGAUAACAAUAAGUUUUCACAUAUUCUUGAUCUUGAGGCCUACAAAUUAUGCACUAAUACAAUCAUAAAUGUCCAAAUGUCCACUAAUACAAAUUAUCCAAAUGUCCACAAAUGUCCACUAAUACAAAUUAUCCAAAUGUCCACAAGAAGUCUGAAGAAUACCAGCUUGUUGUCCACAAAAACCAAGGCAUGACAUGAAGCGAGAAUUUCCUGACUGCGUCCUGGAACUUUACUCAUUUCUGUCUCUAAUUCCUCAUGAUCAGUUAGUCCACCAACAUUGAACAAUAUGGAUCAGGAAUGGGGAAAAAUCACUUUCUAACACUCAAGAUCACAUACAACUCAUAUCCAACAAAUAUCCUGAAGUUUCAUGAGUAUAAUCACAUUAAAAGAGAAAAGGAUACUGACAAGCAUGCUAAUCAAACUCAAGCAGAAAAGGUACUUUCUCCUUGCCGUCUCCGACAUCCCAGCCAGCAAAUGGCUGGGGUUCGUGACAGCUGUUUGGGUCCAAUCCAUCUCCGGCAACAACUAUACCUUCUCCAAUUACUCCGACGCCCUCAAAUCACUCAUGGCCCUCACUCAGCUCCAACUCAACAACCUCUCCGUCGCCAAUUGAUGUCAUUAAAGCAGAAAAUCGGCCUGAUGGCCUCCACCAGCUGCCAUCCCUAAUCCAAGAAGGUCGAGUGUAGUAUGCUUAGGACCAAAUACAGAUGGAGUUCCCAACAUCAGUUCCUUCAAGCUAGACCCACCAUCACACGGCAGCCCUAGUCCUAGGCCUACUACCAAUGAUGCACUAUCAGACUCAAUUGCCCUCCCACUCUUCGCCCGGAAAGACAGUGGUGAAAAGAGGUAAGGAGGUGGCGGCAAAGAGCGACGGGUUAGCCAAAGUUAGAAGAUCCUCUUUUUCUAGAUUUGCAAGUUUCCUACUCUAGAGACAAAAAUGUCCUUGAUAUUUGGUCGUGCAUCUUACAAGAUAAUGCUUUCCGUCAAUUUUAACCGUUGGAUUUGACGGAAGGGCCAUGAAUAUGCUAUUUUAUUAGAUCGAGAGCCAAAAUUUUACCGUUAAUUGUUGGAGGGUUAAAACUUUAUCUGGAAAAGAGUUGGAGGGCCAUUGGAACUCUUUUUCCAAAAAAAAAAAGUCACUUUUGUCAUUUGUCCGAGAACAGUUCAGGGGCCAUCUCGACAGUAUAUAUUUUUCUUACAUGCCAAGACAAUUAAUGAAAAUUGACCAAUAACACACGCACACACACGCGCACGCACACACACACACACUCUCUCUCUCUCGGUUGCUGCCAAGUCUUUCCACUGAAAAGGAAAAUUCAUAUUGUUUACAUAGAUAAAUUACCUCCAGUCCGUGGAAUGUCUUGAUGUUAGGUGAGUUCCAAUAUUUUGGUAUCAUCUAAUGUUCAUUUGUGAAAGAUUGAGAAAUGAUAAAGAGCAAAACACCAAUUUAUUCCAUAAAUUAUUUUGCUAAAAUCAAAAUAGUCCAUAAAUUUUCUUUUGGCCAAAUUUUUGUCAUGAACUUUCAGAAACGGUUGCUUCCUGCAACCGUUGGUGAGGGAUUUCAUCCGGAUUGCUUGUGCAGUUGAGUAACUAUACAGAAAUUCUUUUUGGGAUGCUGAGUAUCUUAGGGUGGGUACAAUGAUCGCUUAGAUCAGUAGAGAUGAUUGAUGAUGUAGUAGGGGAAGAUUCCCUUUAUAAAGCUGAUUUUCUCAUGAUUAAUAAGAAUAUAAAUGUUACCAAAUUUUCUUUUCAAAUGUGUAACGAAAAUAUUGGCCAUGAUCAGCAAGACCUCCUUAAUUAUAAAAGUUUCUUGAAUGUCAUCAUCCAAUUUGUUUAAGCGAGGAUUUUUAAAUGCUAUCUUUAAGCAAAUUGAUUUUUGUAUUAUAGAUACUUACUACUAUUACUUCAUACCUAGCUACAAACCUCAUGUAUGUUUUAAUCCAGAACAAAUCAGGGCCAUGGGCCACCUUGCACAUAGCGAGAGUGGAAAAAUAAAACUACACAAUUGCUUUUUUGAAGCCAGUGACUCAACUGAUUUUGCGCUCGGCAAUUCAUCCGAUUUUCAUUAAAAGGGCCCUAAGAGGCCAUUGGCGUUUUGGGCCUGUGAAAAUUUGGAUGAUUUGGUGUGUCCAAUGCAUGUGUAAGCACAAAUUUUGUUGUCUAAAAUAAAAGACAAGAAAACUUACAUAAAUAUCAAAUUUAUUAAAUUAAAUAACAAGAGGGUUACAAUAUUUGAAAAUUUUUGAAUCAAAGAAAUUAAUCUCCUAAUUUUUAUCUUCAAAAGGCUUUAAUCGGAAGGCCAAAAAGGCUUGUUCUCCGAUCAAGAGGGUGUUUUCUAUGAUUUCUAUGUAAAAAACGGCUGCUUUGAUGAUGACGUUAAUAUUUGAAUCUUUAAAUCUUCAACGCCGAUGGAAGGAGGAUUUAUUUAACUUAAUUUGGAUUUGGAUUUGAAUUUGAGGGAUAAAGCUCUCGACAGAAUUUGACAAAGUUACUUUGAAAUUUAGGAAUUUUAAUGUAUUUUUGCCUUGAGGGAAGACCUUUAUUUAGAGUCAACUUAUGCAAGCUAUGUCUUCAAGAGAAUCCUUCAAAACCAUCUUGCGUUUGGGUAACUUGUACCUUAAGAAACCCAUUUAACUUGGAGUUAAAUAGUGGUCCGACCCAAAUAGUCAAUUGUGAAUUAACAAAUCAAUUAAAUCACUUUAAUUUAAAUGGGCAUCAUAUUUUUUAUUUGAUUAAAUAGCUCAUAUAACAUUGGCUCAAUUUGUCAAUCCAAAACAUAAUGAACUUCUAUAAUUUAAUUCAAUUUAACUAAGAUCAAUUUAAUUUACUUAAUCUUGACUAAAAAUAAAUUAAAUAAAUUUUCGUUGUCUAUGUCCCCACUUCAAAACUUGGCGAGGCAUUGCAUGUUAAUUGCUGGAGGCAAGACUUGAAGUAUUAAUUUUACUGCUGACCUAAAGUCAAACUAAAUUAAAGACUUCAAGCGUUCGGCAUACGGGUGAUCCACUUUUUUUUUUUUUUUUUUUUUUUCCUUUUUCUUUGGGAAGAGAAUGGUCCACAUCAAUUGUAGAAUUGCACCUCAAAGUCCAAUUGAAUAGGCAACGGUCACGGGUCUUCACUUUCACCUACUACUUGAAUAAAGCCUUGAAGCUCUUGAAUUUUCCAACUCUUAAUUUAGUCGUCAAUGGAAGUGCAGCCCCACAAUAUUAGACCGCAACUUUGACCCGUAGAAUUAGAAACCCCCGUUUGAUUAUGCGAUGUGGGCUCCUGCGCAGAAACUCCCAUAUGCUGAAAUUUGGAGUUUGCUCGUACGUUUCUGACCACCAAAUCUUGUUUUGGCACUUGGCAAUAUGGAAUUUGCUGAGUUUCAACGCUUCCUAAACGGAACUUUAAUGUAUUUCCAAAACCAAUGUUUGCAACUUCUGAAUAAGAAUAUGCCAAAUUUUAAGAGCUUCCCAAAUUGACUUCCAGCCAUUGAAAUUAUUCUUGGGAACCAAAUUCAAAUGAUUUCCAAAAAGUUAAACGAUAAUCACUGAAUUUAGUAUCUGUCCAAAACUUAAAACUUCUUAAUAUGAUUCAUCUAAGCACCUUUAUAUAUAUAUAUAUAUAUAUAUAUAUAUAUAUAUAUAUAGGUACAGAAGACAUGUCUUUGUCUUGAAACUGUGACAAACAGGACAUUUAUGACAAGGGCGUGUGAAGACUACCACGCUAUUUGAGGGAAAAAAAACCUGUUUGACACGUAUAUCUUGAAGGUAAUCAUCUUUAUUGUCUUUUGACAACUUCAUGUUGGUCGAGUAUCAGAUAUUCACCAAAUUUUGUUGAAAUCUGUCAAAACUUGAUUUGUUUCUAAUUUGGAGAAAAAAAAAGAUUUUUUUCUUCGUUUCUGCAAUUUUCCAGGUCACUCUUUCCUCUCAACAUGUUACGAUUCAGAAAUUGAGACAAAUCUUGUACAUAGGAAUCUUUUUUAACAGCUGAUGGUUGGAAUUUAGCAGACACCUUGAAGUCAAAGAAGGCAACUAGCAUUCCAAUAGCAUUAUUUGGUUGCAUGCCAUAUCCAAGAUUUUCACUAGUAAGCCACCAUUUUCUUGCUUUUGAUUGUUAUUCUUUCUCUGUUGCACAAUUUUAUUUUCGCACAAUCCAUUUUUUUUCUUUGAAUUUUCUCUUUUGCAAAACAGAGACCACCAAGGAAAGACAGAAAGAUUUUUUGUUUUUGUUUUUGUUUUUGUUUUUGUUUUUGUUUUUUUUUUUUAUGGUUGCACCUUGUGUUGGCACCCCUUAUUUGAAGCAAGUUGAUGUUCCAGUUGUGUUGGGGAUUUUAGGGCCAUAGCUCUUAGAACUCAAAAUACUAAUGUAAUUUCCGCACUCCAUGACAUUUACUUCUUGUCAAUGCCAAACUCUCCUCUUUUUUUUUGUGAUAUGAAAGGAAGAUCUCUCGUUGCAACAUAUAUGGUGGACACUCAAUUUGAAAGAAGGUGCAACCACCAACUUGCACGAGAGCCAUAUCAUGGUUUGAGGAGUAUAAUGAAAAUGAUGCAACUGCAAACUCUUAUGAGAGCCAUAUCAUGGUUGAGAAGUACAAUGAAGAUAGUGCAAUCAAAAAUUUGAAAAAGGUGCAAUCGCAAACUCCCAUGAGAGCCUAUCAUGGAUUGAGGAGUACAACGAAGAAGGUGCCACAAAAUGUCGAAAAAUGUGCAAUCGCAAACUUGCACGAGAGCCUAUCAUGGUUUGAGGAGUACAAUGAAGAAAGUGCAACUACCCACUUCAAUGAGAGCUUACCAAAACUCGAGAAGCCCUUUCAUUUAACUUCACAUUGACUAUUUAUUACUUCUCUCACUGUCUUCGAUCACACCAUUGUAAUCAAAUUUUUUUCUCUUGCUUUUAUUGCAAGUUGGUCCUAACGAAAUGGUGAUGGUCAAGGAAGUUACAUCUUCAAACAAAAGGUACCUCCUUAUCACUAAUAGCCAUGAUGACUCUGCUGACAAAGGAAUGAAAUUAUUGGUGCAUCCCUCUAUACAAGAAACUUACUCUGGUGAUUGGUUUUCUCACAAAUAUUCCGAAUUAAAGGAUUGGUCACUAAAAUUUUCUCAAGAUGAUGGUACAAAAGUUCACUCCUUGAAAUUCCUUAUCAUAAUAAGGAGCCAAGGACAAUUGGCAGGCGAAUCAUAGAUGAAGACACACACUGGGGUGCUUCCUUGAGAUUUAGUGAUGAAUUUGGUUAUAUCGAGAAUUAUUAGGAGCGGUUGGAAGAUAUUUUUGGAAAAAACAAACAAGUGUUUCGUGAAAAUUACUUGUUCGAUGUCUUAUAUGCUUCGCUUCUCAUAUAUAACAAAAAUUCUCAUGUGUUUAGAGCAUUUUGCGAGACAUGGUGCCUAAACACUAAUACCUUGCAUAUGUCAAUUGGAGAAUUAUCUCUCUCACUUUGGGAUCUGUGUAAAUUAGAAGGACUUCCAAUCAUCGGAUACAUCUAUGAAGAGGCGAUCCCAUGUGUAGAGGAACUAACUGGAGUUAAUGAAAAGAAGUUGAUGCAUAUUCCGCAAAAUUGUGAGUAUUUGUUCGCGGCUCUGCACUACCUUCAACAUGGAGAAUACUACAAUUAUGGAGUUUCUGCUAGCCAAUAGAUUAACUUUUGGUUUAAAGGCAACGUGAGGUAUUCAAAACCAAAACAGAGAAGGAUAAAGAGAGCAUCUAGUGCUUAAGCAACCCAAAAUCCAGAUGGAAAGAUUGGACAACCACGUAAUUUUUAAUUCAAGACAAUGGCAUAUAUGAUACCAUUGGAGACAAGUCUCACUUACGAGAAGAGACUUAUCUUGUAGCAUUUAUAUCUUGUUGACUCUACGUUUUUACUCUACCAGAUGAGGACGUCUAUUAUAUUAGACUAUCUACCUUCAAAAUGGCUAGCAUGAUGGCUGUCGGAUAUAAAACUUGCCUUGCUGUUCCUGUCUUGCUGAGUAUCUAUCACGGAUUCAAUAAAAUUUCAAAUUCAUCUACUCCAAGGUGUGCGCGUGCAUUUUUUUCAAUGCACUACGUGUAUGCUUAACUGGCGAGUUAUUUCUCUACCCAUUAUUCAACUCCGAAUAUCAUGCCUGGACCAACAAUUAUCAAUUAUUCUGGAAAGGGUGUGCACAAUAUUUUGAUGAAAAUAGUGCUUGCGACCUCAUUCAUCAAGGAGACAAAGUAACUUGGGGGACAACUUCUCUUGUGAAGAAUUAAAAUGAAUUUUUUGUUGAUGAUGGCAAGUUAGCGAACCCAGAACUGAUUUAUUUCGUAAGUGCUUGCUCAAAUUAUUUAGUCUUACAUGCUGAAGGAGAUUUUCUUGUUGAGCCAUACAGGUUUGCAAGGCAAUUCGAAUUUUAUCAAAACACCCCACAAGAACUGGGAGCAGAUGUUCAUUCUACAAAUUAUGACUUGAGUCAAAUACUUUGACACAUUGCUAUUCAUAAUAAGACAGAGUCGAAGGUAUUUUUUUCUAGUUACCCCUUGAAUGCUAACAAGCAUAUAUCUCCAGAUUUUCAAACAUGAUGUUUUGAUUAAGAGUGUCCAACCAAAUUUGAAACAGAAGAAAUCGAAAGGAAAGAAACUUGCAAAUUUGAAUAAUCCUGUCAAGGUUGGCAGUAAUCUUGAGGCGAAACAGAAAAUCACCAAGACUGUGAGGAUUGAGGAGAAAGCAUUGCAGAGCUCCAGCAACUCGUGAAAUUCUAAUUUUCAAUGAAGAAUUUUCGAAUGGUAAUUCAUUUUGUCUUCCUUCAAUAAUUGUAAAAGCCACCAAUCAUGAGUCUCGCAAUUCCAAUGAAAAGAAGAGGAGCAACUCUUUUGAUGAGAAGGAUGAGCAAUCUACUAGUACAGACUAGCACUAGAAGCAUAAGAAAUUCAAGGUAAUGACUUUCUCUUUGGAUGAUAUUGUUUUAGACCCUAAAGAAAUGUUUAAGGACAUUCUGGACAAAUAUGUGCUUGGUAUAAGUCAUGCCAAUAUUAUAAGAACAUUCUCUUGCCUUCUUUAGUUUGGCAUUUGAAAUUUACUUAUCAAUUUCAUAUUCAUGAUAUGUCUCAUAACAUUUUCCAUGUAGUUGAAUGAUCAAAACUUGAUUUUUAUUAAUGAUGGGAAAUCAAGCUAAGAAUUCGUUGAAGGACCCACUAUAUUUUAACUUUUAACAAAACAAGUGGUCAAUUCUACUCAAUAAAAGGGCAUCAUUGAAAAUUUCAAAAAGGCAGUGCAUGAUGAAAAUUCAGUUCAACAAAUCAUGCUACAGAAGAAAGAACAUGUGACUUCACCGGAGAAAAAAAAGUUCAAAAUUUUUGAUCCACAACCGUAGCCAAGGGCACCUCAAGUGUCUGAAUUUUGCCCCCAAACUAUGAUCUUAACAUGUCAUCGAGAUUACAUUCAAAUGCUCUGAAAUAAUUUGAAGGUGCUGAUAUCCGAAACAAUCCUGGAACGCAUUUCUGCUCUUAAGAUGAAAGCAAAUGAAAUCAUGGAGGAAAUGCAAAGUUUCAAUGCUAUGAAUAUUUCAAACUUGUAAGGCCUUUUAAAGCCUUUCUUUACAAAACCAAUUCGUUCUGUCGUAAUAAAGUCUUCUUUCUCAAAUAAAAUUUCAAUUGAAUCAUAUAAUGAGUUGUUUUCUAUAGCUACCCAACAUCUUAGAGAUGCUCAGAGUAAGGAGAAAUAAUAACUUAAAAAGUUCUCAACGUACAUGUUAAAAUUUAAAGAGAUUGACCAUGAGAAAAUAGAGCUAAGGAAAUGACUUGAAUCUAUGGGUACUCAUAGGAUGGAAAUACUUUCACUGCUACGAAAGAAACAAGACGAGCUUACCUAAAUGCAAGGCAAGAUGAUCAACUUAUGAAAUGAAAUUCAAAAGAUUGAAGAUUCCCUAUCUUUACUUGUUGAGGAGAGCCAAACAUUGAACAAAAUGCAAGCACUACUUGAAAGCAACUGCAAAAAACUGUCAUCAUUUGAACUUUAGAAUUAGUUACAAUCUUUUACUUUUUUCAAAUUUUAUUUAUUGUCACUUGCCUAUAUUAUAUAGCCACAGGCAUAAUUAAUUUUUUAUUUCACCAUGAAUCAUGAUUUUUUUUAUUUCAUGAUACUCUUGUGGAUAUUUCUUACUUUCCUUUGUUGCUUUCAUUAACCACCAUUUUAGACUAUCGAUUGCAAAAUAAACAAUUCAACAUUUGCAUAAUUUUAAUCACAUUUGAAGAGGUAAUUGUCUACAUAAUUUGAUAAUUUGAACAAUAUACUUUCAGGUGUAUGUUGCAAAGUAAUUUGAAUUGCCCUAAAGAGAAAAACUUUUUAUCUUUUAUUGCAUGACAUCUUUAUGGGGUUGUAACUGAAUUUCGAAGUUACCAUCUAAACUGUUUGCAUAUCCCAAAAGGGAAUAAAUUCACGUGUAGUUCCUACCAUCCACAGUUUAAUUUCUUGCAGGUCAGGAGUAUCUAUUUGCUUAUCACUUUAAACUUGGUGGAGUGUUUUAGUAGUUUAACCAUAUACUACACUAUUGGUGAUUGCCGUCCACAGUUUUAACUCAUAUGGACCAAGAGCAACAUGCAGUUUAGACUCAUGUGUCAUGAAACAACAUGCAGUUUAGGGUCAUGCGUCAUGUUGUCCUUUAUUUUUUUUAUGGCGUGUAUAAUCUUAAGAAAUUUUCAUUUAUGGGUCAACAUUUACACCAUUUUGUCAACUACCUUGUACGCGUUAUUUGUAUAAACAUUUCGGAUAAUAUAUGGUCCAUCCUAUUCGGAGACAAAUUUAUCUUUAGCAUGAUGAGUCAUAACUAUUGAUUUUCGAACGGCGAACACUAUGUCACCAAUUUGAAAGGAAUGAUGAUGAUAGCUUUAGAAAGGUAAGCCUGGUAGCAUUCAAGAUUUUGUUGAGUUUCCAAUUCCUUUUCAUCUAAAGUUUCUAAUUCUUUAAGAAGCAAGCAAAUAUUUUCUUUCUCCAUGAGCCCUUAUUGGAUGGCAAUUCUCAGAGAAAGAAUUUGUUGUUCAAGAAGCAAGACAACUUCUACACCAUAAACUAAGGCAUCAGGGGUGGCUUGCAUUGGAAUUCGAUAUGUGGUGCGAUAAACGCAGAGAGUUUCACCUAUCAUUUCAUGCCAAUCCUUCUUUGAUCUGGCCAUCACUUUUUUCAACAAGUUGCAUAGAGUUUUAUUGAAUGCCUAAACAAUACUGUUGGCAGGGACAUUAUACAUAAAGGACUUGCGAUGUUUGAAUUUAAAUUUCUCACACAACCUAUCCAUUAAACAGUUGAAGAAGGGUUUCCAUUAUCAGUGAUAAUGUGUUAGAGAAUUUCAUAACGAUAAAUAAUAUUUACACGAAUGAAAUUCACCAUAUCUUCUUUUCUCACUUGAGUGGUAUAGUUUCAUCCCAUUUAGAGAAGUAGUUGGUUGUAACCAAUAUAUAUAGAUGUUGUCCGAACGACUUAGGCAAUGGUCCAACAACAUUAAGGUCCCAGGCAUCAAAAGGCUAAGAAGUAAUAGUCAAAUGUAAUAGUUCGGGUAAUUGAUGAAUGUAAUUUGCAUAGAAUUGACAAGUUUGACACCUUUGAGCGUAUUCCAUACAAUCUUUGACCAUAGUAAGGCAAUAAUAGCCCAUCAUUUUAAUCCAAAAAUGCAACUUGGGACCGAAUUGGUGAGUUUGACAUAUUUCAAAAUGUGCCUCUUGCAUAGCUUGAUAUUCAUUAUCUUCAUUCAGACAGCGCAAGAAUACACUUUCAAAUGAUUUUUGAUAUAGCGUAUCUUUGUAUAAGAUGAAACGGGGGCACGACAAUAGAUAUCAAAUCUUUUAUGUUGCUCCUUAGGUACCUUUUGAUACUUGAUAUAAUUGAUAACAGGUUGUCUCCAAUCUUCUUUAUCAACUUCAUAAGUUGAGACGACAUAAGCAUCACCUUCCUCAAUAUUUUCAUUAUCAAAUAAUGGUGAAACUAUCCACUUUUGAUACACACGAACUUGUAUUUCAUAAUUUGACAUAGUCAGAGAAGAAGCAAGCAUAGCUAAUGCAUGAGUUUGCUUAUUUUCUCUUUUAGGGACAUGUUCAAUACUUGUACCUUCAAGUUACCUUAUAAGUUGCGUUGCAUUCUUGUGAUAUGGAAUUAAUUUAAAUUUUUUAACAUCAUAAUUUCCCAAGGGUUGACUAACGACUAAUUGUGAGUUGCCAUAGAUUUGAAACUCAAAUUAUUUCAUGUCAAUAGUUAUUUCAAGUCCGAAUAUGAGGGUUUGAUACUUAACGACAUUAUUUGAACAACGUUGAUUUAGAAUAAAGGAGUAUGGCAAAACUUCUUCAUCAGAUGUUGUAAAUACAAUUUUGACUCCAACUCCAUGACGAUGAGUAGCAGAUUUCAAUAAGGAGUACAUUUUUAUUUGGUAGAUCAUCACUUAACUCCCAUUCAACAAGUAUCGGGUGAUCAAUAAGAAAAUCUACUAGUACUUAACCCUUCACGGCCUUUUGGAAUACAUAAAUAAUUUUAAAUUAUUGUAACUAGGUACCAUUUAGCUAGACAGUUGGAUAGUGUUGGUCUACUUAUCACGUAUUUUAUGAAGUUUGCCUUGAAGAUGAGUCUCACACUGUGUGCUUGAAAGUAGUGUUUUAACUUCUAUAUUAUAAAAAUAAGAGUUAAACACAACUUUUCAAUCGGUGAGUAGUUUAAUUUAUUAGAGAUCAUCAUAAAUAAUAAAGGGCAGUUUCUUUCACUUCAUUAUUUUCUUGUGCAACCAAUACCUCCACUAAACGUUCUUGGGUAACAAUGUAAAGAAUUAAUGGCUUUCUAUAAAUAGGUUCAAUCAAGACAGAUGCCUUCAUGAGAUAAGAUUUAAUGCUAUUGAAUGUAUUGCUGUACGCUUCAUUCCAUUGGAAUGGUACACCUUUCUUCAUAAGGUGAUUAAAUGGUUGACACCUUUCAAUUAAAUUUGAGAUAAACCUCCACAGAUAGGUUAAUCGCUCUUGAAGGCUUUUUAUUUCUGAAUAUUGCGAGAUUCAGGCAUUCUCAAUAUAGCAUCAAUGUUGACUCGAUCAAUUUUAAUACCUCGAUGACAGACCACAAAAUCAAGAAACUUUCCUGAUGUAACUCUAAAUGCACAUUUGAGAGGAUUCAAUUUGAGUUGAUAUAUUUUCAACCGAUCAAAAUUUUGUUUCAAAUCCUCCAAGUGAUUAUUUCUUUUUUUUUUUAUUUAACAACCAAAUCGUCCAUAUAACAUUUAAUAUUUUUAUGAAGCAUGUCAUCAAAAAUAUUUUACAUUAAUCUUUGAUAUGUAGUUUUGAUAUUUUCAAACUAAAGGGUAUUAUGUUAUAACAAUAAAUACCCUUAGGAGUAUGAAAUCUAGUGAGUUAUUUAUCCUCAGGUGUUAUUCGAAUUUGAUUAUAGUUAGAAAAGCUAUCCAUAAACGACAAACCCUCAGACCCAAUAAUUGCAUUAAUCAUGAGUUUGGUGAUGGGUAGAGAAAAAUCAUCUUUGGAACAAGCACUGUUAAGAUCCCUAAAAUUUACGUAGAUGUGAAUUUGCCUGUUCUUCUUUCGUACAGACAUGAUAUUUGAAAUUCAUGUGAAAGACUUAAAUUCAUGAAUAAAUCCAUCAUCAGUGAAUUUAUUGAUUUCAACUUCGAUCAAAUAGACCAAAUCGGGUCUAAAUCACCAUUGUACUUACAUUACAGGUCGAACUCCCUUUUUAAUAGGUAAAUGGUGGACUGCUACUUUUGAAUUUAGACCUAACAUUUCUUUAUAAGUUCAUGUAAAAAUAUCUUGAUACUCUUGCAAGAACUCAACAUAUGUCUUCUCUUCAUCAGAAUUCAAUAAAGCACUUACCUAUAUAGGAUAUGGGUCCUGUGAAGUGCCAAAAUUGAUUUUUUAAGUCAUCUACAGUGGCCUUAACGCCUUGUUCAAAUUCAGGUGAAGCAUCUUCAACAUCUUCUUCUUCUCCAAGGGAAUUAUUAUCAAAUAUGGUUAUAUGGUUGUAUGAAACAAUACUUUCUUCAUCAUCUUCCUUUGAUCUUGUUUCUACAAUAGUAUGCUCUCUAACCUUUAGUUCAGUCCCAUAAAUUAUUAUAAGAUUUGUACAUCUCCUCAUUCUUGAGAGAAUAAUGUUACCAAACUUAUAAAUGUUAUGGGGACAAUCAAAAGAUUCUUCAAAUUCUUUCAGUGAUUUUGUCAUUCUCCAUUUAUUCUUAUGAGAAUUUUGAGACUUUUAUUUUCUUUGUGGUCCUAGUCUUUUGAAGACGAAUACUCACAGAGCCUUAUCCCUAUUUUUAUGAAAAACGUGUGACUUAUUGACUAUUUUAGAAGAUUCAUCUCUUAUAGCAAUAAAUUGACUACCAGCUCUAUUGAUUUUGAUGCGAAUUGGUACAGGUGAAAAAUAGUAAAGAUCAGAUUUAGAAUUCUUAACAGCAUAUCCUUUCCCUUUCAACAUCUUUUGAGUAAGGUUUAACCCAUAAGUCACAUCGCUAGUGGCUUGAGGAGGUUUCAAUACCAGAGAUUUCUUGAAAUCAUACCCAAUUUUGGUAAGAAGUUUAUAAGCAAUAUAAUCAAAAGCUUCAUUAAUUCUUGACGUCAGUAGCAUAUCUUGCUUGAUGUCAAACUCUUUAUUAAGAUGAUCAAACCCUUUGAUUAAAGGCGAUGGUAUAUUCGUAGCAUCAAGUUUAGCCACAGGAAGAGUUAAUCCUUUCAGAGUUUUGUGUGGAAUUGAAGAUGGUUGUCCUUGUCCCAAUCUUGACUUGGGAGGGUAUCCGAAGACAACUGAUUUAUUUUUUAACAAUGAGGCAUCAAUUUUUUUAUGAACUACCUCUUUUGAUUUUGGAAUCACCACUUUCUUCGUUUUGCACUUGAUGAUUCGAGAUCUUGGAUUUUAACCAUAGAUGGAGAUUGUUUAAACUCAUUCUUUAUGUUAUACUGAUUUAUUUUUUAACAAUGAGGCAUCAAUUUCUUUCUGAACUACCUCUUUUGAUUUUGGAAUCACCACUUUCUUCCUUUUGCACUUGAUGAUUCGAGAUCUUGGAUUUUAACCACAGAUGGAGAUUGUUUAAACUCAUUCUUUAUGUUAUAUUUUUGGAUAUAAAAUUUAGCAUUAGCGAUAUGCAUUUCUACUUCAGUGUAAAGAUUAUAAUCAGUUUUCACACUUUUUACCACUCCAUUUCGGUAAUACUUGAAAUAUUGGUGAAGAGUUGAAAGCACAACCCCAUUUUCAUGAAUCCAGGGUCUUCCCAGUAGCAUAUUAUUUAUUGUUUUAGUAUCUAUUACAUACAGUUGUGCUUUAGACAAUAUAUCAUCGAUAACUAUCUCUAAAUUUAACGAUCCAAUAGCUCUUUGCCCUCCUUGAUUAAGGUCUUGUAUUAUUAGUCAGCUUAUUGGAAAGUUUAUCAAUGGAGAUGCCAAAUUCCUUUAGAGUUUUUAAGACAAGGCUAUUGACAGCAGAACCUCUCUCUAUCAAAAUUUUAUUCACAUUUUAUUUUUUAGCAUAAACAGUUACAAACAAAGGACGGUUAUGUGAUGUUGACCCAAAAAACAAGUUGAUAGGGUGUUAAUUGUUAGUAAUUUUAUUGCUAUUUUUCCCCUUUGUCCUUGCCAAAUAUUAUUUUAAUUGUUAACAUAUACUUAUUUUUGGUAUUUGGACCAAUCUACAGGAAGUGGAACUGACAAAUGCUAAAAAGGAGAUUUUAUUGAGAAAAAUCCUUCACAUGCUAGAGCCUCCAGCGGAUAUACAAGUUGGGCCCACAUGGUGUUACAAAUUCGGUUGCUGAUGGGGAGCUCUUAUUAUUGGGAGUUGACUUGUACGUGUAGGAGUCCUCCUACCAAGAGGAAACAAGAAAAAAGGAAUUCGGCAGAGGCCCAUCUUUUGUACUUAGCUUUCUCAAUUCGGUAGGGACCAUGGACUAGAGGUUUUCAUUAGUGAUUGGACUUUAAAAGGGAAGAAACGUAUAGAGGCUUGGGGAUUAUUAUGAUUAGCGUAGCUUUAGUUUUAGUGGUUAGCUAGCGUUUCCUUUUCAUGCGCACGAGGUGCUCGACAAUAUUUUUCAACGGGAAAAAAAAACAUCUUUUACUCUUGCUUUCUAGUGAAAAACUUGAUGCCUUUGCAAUCAAUUAAUUUGCGUGGAGAUUUAAUUAUGCGGCGUGGCUAAGCCUUUUAUCUAGUCAAGGAUCAACUCGACGGCGCAGUCCCAAAUAUCUGUGAGAUCUAAUUAGUUUUCACGCGUUUCUUAAUUUGUUAAUAUUUGCAUGUUGCCUAUUUGAAUUUCCACGGGAUUAUUUUGUUAAUUGGAUAUCAAGAGCCCGAUGUUCAAUGUGACUUAUUAAUUUCCUGCCAAAUUAGUCAAUUAAAUCCGUAAUUGUUUGAUUGAUUAAUAUUAGUAGCAACUGACAUGUUUACACACUAGAAGAACGUGCAAUCUAAUUUAAAUAACCCUCGUAGCGUGUUAUUGAUUGGGAUUAGAUUUUUCUAGUUAUUAAUGCAAUUGGGAAAUUAAUUCAUACAGUUGUACCUAGGAGUAUUUUCUGGUUAGGAGUAAUCAUUGGUCGUACCUUGGUUAUCAAUAAAUUAAGGAAAAAUUGGUCGUUAGAAUUCGUCGGCGACUAUAACUAGCCUAUUAAUAAAUUAAGUGAACCUCCCUUGCAUCAAUGAUCGGGUAAGUGGACUGUGUCUGAGUAGUUGUAUUCUUAACUAAAAUUUAUCUAUUCUUGAUUUAAUUCCUGCCUAUAUUCGUGCUAAUUAAUUAUUUAUUUUUAGUGAAUUGCUUAAUUAUUUUUAGUUUUACUCCAAUAAAAUUCCUCUUUACCAAUUGGAAUCUCAAAAAGACAAAUAUUCUCAGUCCCUGAAGAGACGACCCUACUUGCCAUUGUCUACUAUUUAGUAAGUUUUGUCAACUAAUUAAUUUUGGUAUAUCGGAUUAAGCAAAUUUUUCGGGAACAGGGUGAAUUAAGUAACCUAUUGCACAUCUAGAGUCCCGGCUCUAAUAUCUAGGAUUCAUUAUUGACUGCUUUUAGUGGUAUUUAGGUUAUUAUUAUUAUUAUUGCACAGUCUCGACACCUGUCAAUUUUUGGCGUCGCUGCCAGGGACUGGCGUUAAUUAUUUGUUUUUUUAAGUUCAAUUUUGUUCUAAUUUUCUGGUAUUUUUUCUAAUUUAUGCAUCAUUCUUCUCGUAUAAGUGAAUUAAUUUUCGACCCUGAAGUAGAGAAGAUCGCGCGUAGAACGAGAAAAGAAACCAGACAAUUCAGAGAAGAGCACUCAAGUACUACAUCUCAGAGACUUGAGCCGGAAGUUGAACCGGCAAAUUCGUUUGGUAACACUUCGAGUGACUCGGAUCAAGAGAAACUCACCAUGGCAAAUGCACAAACAUUAAGGGAGUUGGCUGCUUCUAAUUUAAAUCAACAGCCUUUAUGCAUUGCUUUCCCAAGUUUGAAUGAUGACACCCUCUUUGAACUAAAAUCUGGUCUAAUUCAUCUCUUGCCAUCUUUUCAUGGUUUACCAGGUAAGGAGCCCUACAAACAUUUACAAGAGUUUGAUGUUGUUUGCAACAGUAUGAAACCCCCGGGAAUCACAGAAAAGCUGAUAAAAAUGAGGGCCCUCCCCUUCUCUUUGAAGGAUUCAGCGAAAGAUUGGCUAUACUACCUACCACCAGGUAGUAUCACCACGUGGGACCAGUUGAAAAAAAAAUUCUUAGACAAAUAUUUUCCUGCGUCUCGGGCCGCCAGCUUAAGGAAAGAGAUAUGCGGUAUCAAACAACACCCAGGCGAGUCUCUCUAUGAGUACUGCGAGAGGUUUAAGAAGCUGUGUAUCAAAUGCCCUCAGCAUCAGAUAAGUGAGCAACUGCUCAUCCAAUAUUUCUAUGAGGGACUACUCUUCACGGACUGGAGCAUAAUCGAUGUUGCCAGUAAAGGGGCGCUAGUGAACAAGACCCCUCGAAAAUCUUGGGAGUUGAUUGAGGGGAUGGCUGAAAAUUCACAGCAGUUUGGUGGGCAGUGGCGAUGGCGAAGGCUCGCGGGGGUGGAAGAGCCGUUGGCGCGACUGGGGCCGCGCGGCUGCUAGAAUCUAGUUGCAUCAGUCUCUGUGGUCCUUGGGAUCUUUGAUUCGGCUGUUCCAUAGCUUGUCGAUCCUUUGUUGCAUCCCUGUAGGCAUUGUAAUUCCUGUUGAUUGAGUUGUUAUCUAGUUUUUGAGGGCACCUCUAGUAGUUCCUUUAUUUGGGAGUUAUUUGGGGUUGAGUUGGGAGUUAUUGGCCAAUUGAUUCCUAUUUUGCUUUCGUCCUGUUUCUGGUACUGUAUGGUUUUGAUUGGGGGGUGUCUCAGUGGUUUGGGUUGCCUGUUUGAAUUGGUUCUUACCUGUGUGUGCACCAGUGGUACUGGUUGUGUUGGGAAUCCGUGACUGAUUUGUUCUUGUCCAAUUGAAGCCAUUUUGAGCAAUUUUGGGGUGAACACAUUUUGUCAUUAAUUGUUGAUUGUUGGGGGACGUUUUUGGUAACACUUGAGUUGAUAGGGUGUUAAUUAUUGGUUAUUUUAUUAUUAAUCUCCCUUUUUAUUCUUGCCAAAUAUUGCUUAAUUGUUAAUAUUUACUCAUAUUUGGUAUCUGGACUUAAUUUCAGGAAUGAAGUAGAAAACUACCAAAAAGGAGGGAUUUUAUGGAGAAUAUGGAAACUUCUAAGGGCUUCAAUUCUUGGGCCCUUGAAUUGGUGGGGACCACAAGCUAGUGAAAGGCAUUUAGUCAUUUGAGCUCUUCAAAAGAAGCUACGUAUAUUUUAUUUUAUUUUAUUUUAUUUAUUUUAUUUAUCUCUUAUUUUUUUUUAUAUAGUUUAUGGCUUCUAACACUUCGUAUUUUGGUGAUAUACUGGAUUUUGUUUCCGGGAAAGGCAAUGUGACUAGUUUUUUUGCUAAGUCUGCAUAUGCAGAGGCACUAAACUCUAUUAGAGAAAGAAUGGCUGCUGCAACCUGUAAAAUUUGUUAUACCAGGGAUCAUUCAACCGGUAUGUGCCCCGAAUAUCAAGAUAAUCUGAGUGUCCCAUUCGAUAAUUAUGGAGAAUUUUCACCCUGGUCUCAAACGUGGUACGACCCUAAUCCAAACGGGUAUGAUCAAGGAUGGUGGGAUAACUCCAAUUAUAAUUAUACAACGGGACCAAUGAAUUUUCAGCAGUAUGAGUCUCAAGAAUCGUCAUCUAUGUCAGGUAUGUCUCUUGAAGAAAUAGUUGAACCAAUAGCUACUAACACAUACCAAUUCCAACAGGAGACACAAAUGAGGAAUGAGAUGAUGAAGGAUGCAAUGAGUUAUCUGGCAGAUCAACUAUGUCUAUUGACAUCCAGAAUAAAUCGAUGGGCUUCUCAAAUGGAAGAACUGCCCUCGAAAACCAUUGUUGACCUAGAAGAAAAUGAGAGUGCAAUUUGCUUGACUAGUGAUGAGGAGAUGCAAGAGUGUCAAAAUGAAAAAUCUACAGAUACAGUUGAAAAAGAAGCCGAAAAGGAAGAAAUGGAACCCCAACCGCAACCCAUUCAAGUGAAAGAAUCCAGUGAAGAAUCAUCAAAUGUGGUGACACCACCUCCAUUCCCUAACCCGCAUUUUUUCUAACUCUUACUCUAUGAUUUCUGUUAAUGAGAUUGAUUUUGUUAUACCGGAAGUUUUUGAGUCUCAUGGCAGAAAUAAGUUGAGAGUGGAGAUGGCGAAAUAUCUUGAACCGUUGAAUGCUCUUGAUGGAGGAAUGGAUGAAGAAUUGCGAUCAAUGCUUGAUUAUGUGGCGCCAUCAACUAGUCCAUGGAAGCCCGUGGUUCGUGUGCUCAAAGAUUACUCCAUCUAUGAGGGUUACCAGGAUCAUAUUGAAGAUGAAGCAUUGAAGCGAGCUACAAGAUUUUAUCCUCCAUGAACAAGACAUAACAAUGUCUAGCCAAAGACAUUAAAGAAAGGCGUUUUUUGGGAGGCAACCCAAAUAUUGAUUUUAUUAUUUUUAGUUGUUCAAUUCUUUCGUUCUGUUGUUUCUCAUUUGGAUAGUAGUUGGUCUUGAUAUUUUUCUCCACUGUGAUCAGGAAGUGAAAUCUUGGCGUGCCCACGCGGUGUUUAGGUCUCCUGAGAUCAGAGGACGAACACCAAUCUUGGCGUGCCCACGCGGUGUUUGGGUCUCCUGAGGUCAGUGAAUGUUUUGUAAUCUUGGCAUGCCCACGCGGUGUUUGACGACCCAAAACAUGAAAAAAAAAAAGUUUCAAAAUUUCACAUUGAGAAAAUUCAAAAAUUCAAAAGGCAUUUUUCUUUUUCUUCAAAAAUUCAAAUUUUGGAAUUUCAAAUUCAGGAAAAAAUUUGAAAAAAAAACAUUGAGAAAAAAAAACCCAAAAAGAAAAAAUUAAGAUUCAAAAAAAAAAAAAAACUAUUUUUUUUUCUCUCUUUUUCUUUUUCUCUUUUCUUUUUCUUUUUUCUUUUCUUCUUUUUUCUUUCUUUCUUCCUUCACCACCGCAGCAGCUACCCCACGCGACUCUCCUCCGCCUACCCCAGCGCACAGCCCAGGCCACGCGCUCCCUCCUUCCUGCAGCCCGUCGACGAAGCCCACCAGCCACCACCAGCAGGCCGCGGCUCCUUCCCCCUUGCGCGGCCACAGCUCGCGAACCACCUCUCCCACAGCGCGCGGCCUUCUCCCUUAUCUUUUGGCCGCGCGUCAUUGGCUCGCCCAAGGGCAGCCGCCGCCGCCGUUCCUCACAGUCAAGCAAUCGCAGGCCAAAGCCCACAACCCCAGCCGGCGCCGCCCGCAGCUCCUCGUGCGUGACAGCCGUGCGACGCCGCGCCUCCCUCAGCAACAGCUCCAAGCUCCAGCUCACUCGCAGACAGCCGCGCGAUUCUCAGCCAUUCACCUCGCGCGACCCCGAGCGCACAAUUCCGCGUGCCGCCAUCGAAGACCGCCGCGCCUCUCCCUCAGCCCGCCAUUGCGCCCCACCACUGUCCCGCUGUCUACGGUUGGGCACAAGGGAGGUACUUUUAAAAGAAAUUUUUAAUUUAAAUACGAGAAUGUCAAUUUCUAAAUUCUGGGGCUGUUUAGUGAUUGUUUGGAUUUCUUGGUGGAUUUGGUUGGCCGUCUGAUUAAAUUCUUCCUUGUGUGAUAACCAGUGGUACUGGUUGGGGUCUUUCGACCAUAGUUGUUGCUUAUAUUUGGUCAGAUGUCUGCUUGUUUGAAAGUUCACGUUCUUGUGAUUGAGUUGUUGCUCAAAUUCUGAUCUGCUGUUGCUAGAACUUUUGGUUGGUUGAGUUGUGCAAUUGACUGUCCAAUUGGAGACAGUUAUUGAGAUCUUAGGUGGGAUGGUGUCCAAUUGCUAAAAUUUGUUGCUUUGUUUCGUCACUCGCACUGCUCCUAGUUUGUUCGAGUGAAAUUGGUUGGAUGUUCUUUGCCCGUGGAGUGUAACUGUUACAUUGUUUGGGGCAGUUUUUUGGUAUUGAUUGAAUUGUUGGGCGUAAAUUGCUCAGGACUUUACAUUGCUAAUUUGGUGGGCCAUUUAUUGUGCAUUACCCUUUUGAAUUGGGAGAUACCUGUGCUUAUUGGGUUUUGACUACUUGAGAUUUCUGUUGCAUCUGGGGGAUAAAAUUUGAUGACUUUUGUGCCAGUUUAUUUGUUUGGAAAUUGUUGGGGGUAAUUUGGGAGUUACUUGUCAAUUGGGUCCCGUGUUACCCUCUACCAUUCAGUGGUACUGAUUGGUGUGUUUGGCUUUAUCACAUGUCUUGGGUUGGCCAUUUGAUUUCAAUUUUCCUUGUGCAUGCACCAGUGGUACUGGUGAGGGUAGUUUACAUAAUAUUUGUUACUCCUGUGUUAUUGGUUGCCUAAUCGACUACUGGGCAUUUGUGGUUGAAUUGUUUCUGUCCAACUUCUGAACUGUUGUUGCUGGAGUGCCAUUUUCUUGGGUCAAUUGCUGAUUUUAGCAAGUUGAAGUGGGUAAUUGACUGUCCAAUUGGAGACAGUUGUUACGAUAUUGGGUCCGAUUGUGUCUAAUUGCUGGAAGUUGUUGAUUUAUUAAGACACUAGCACAGUUCCUAGUUUGUUCGAGUUGCUGUUCUGUUGCAUUAUUGGGAGCUGUGCUCUAGUAUUGUGGCUACUUUCCUGCGUUUAUUUGUUGAAUUGGGAUAUGAAUGUGCCUAUUGCUCAUUUUGUUGCAUCUAAUUGACUUGCUUGGGGUAAUCUGCCCAUCAAUUUUAAUUACUCAAGUCUUUGGAGCAGUUGUUGCACAUUUGGACUACUUUGUUUCUAUAUCUGACUGAAUUGGGACCACAAGUGCUUAUCAAUUGCAUUUGCUAUAAGUAUUGGGGUAUUCGUAUAGAUUUUAGGAGCCUGCAUUGUGCAUUUUAUUGUUUGGGUUGCCUACUAGUUACCAUGGUGAAGCCACGAUCCUCCCCCAGGGGCCGAUGACUGGCUCCAACUUUCGAUGACAGUUGAGAGACUGGAGACUCGAGUGACCCACAUUGACAUCGACUUGCAUAACAUGGCGCAGAAUUUGGCAGCACUCCGCCCGACCCGCCCCUGUUUUGACAAUUUCAAGGAAGUACCGUUGCCCUUCUCUUUACUUUUGUUGUUGGUUUAUCACAUUGAGGGCAAUGUGUGAUUUAGGUGUGGGGGGAUCAGUUUGGGUGCUAGUAUUUUUAGUUUUUAGGUUCUAGAGGUUUUUCUUUUGUUUUAGUUUGAUAUUUAGUUCUUUUUUUUUCGUCUAUUUUAUUUUAUUAUUAUUAUUUUUUUUUCUUUCUCCUUUUUUCUAGUGGUCAGUCUUCAUAUGAAUACCAAGUUUGAUACUGGAUUGUUGUCUCUAAUUCUGCUAUUGCCAAGUCUUAUUAAUAAAAGGGUAUUAAGUUAAUGUGCUUGAGUUCAGGAAUAUCUCUUUGGUGAAUAUCGGUAAUUGCUUAACUUUUUCAAUUUUUGGUUAACUUUUCUAGGCAUAGGGAAUGAUUGUUGGCAUUUUUCAUGUGAAUUGGUUCAGUUAUUAAUUUUAGUUCUCCAUGUCUGGAAAUUUGAGGCUGGCUGCUGUUAAUCUUAUGUUGCUUUUAGAUAUCGUGUUAUAUGGUUGUAAAUAAGAGUUGACUGUACUCCGCUAGUGGUUACUACUGAGUAACCGGGGAUUUUCACCUAAAGUGUCGAUUCUCGCGUCAAAAGGUAGUAGUUGCUAUGAAUGCGUGGUCCUGUAGCGAUCGGAGCUGAGUAACCGGGCUCCUCCAUCUGAUAAAUGUUGGAGUUCGCGUCAAAAGGCUCUAAAUGGCUAGAGACUAAGUCUUUUGCUAUUCCCAAAAAAAAAAAGAAAAAAAACAAGUAAAGUUUGUGUUAGUAUUUAAAAAAAAAAAAAAGAAAGUCAGCUUGCCUAUUUGUGAUCUUAAUGUCGAGAUUUUGGUUAAUAGAUGGACCAUUUGCUGAUAAAUGUGAGCAACCAUUCCUUUUCCUUAGAUUAGUUUGCUUCAAAUUGAAGGAGUUGGUGGUUUAGAGGCUAAUCGGGGUGAUUUUUCUUGGAUGUUGACCUGUGAUGCUUGAUAUUUAUUUUUCUUGGACAUCUUGGCAAUACGGUAGUUGGAGUAACAGCCAUGGUCAACUUUUGGUGUUCAAUUGUUGUUCCCAUACUUGAGGGCAAACAUGAUUUAGGUGUGGGGGGAAUUGAUAGGGUGUUAAUUAUUGGUUAUUUUAUUAUUAAUCUCCCUUUUUAUCCUUGUCAAAUAUUGCUUAAUUGUUAAUAUUUACUCAUAUUUGGUAUCUGGAUUUAAUUUCAGGAAUGAAGUAGAAAACUACCAAAAAGGAGGGAUUUUAUGGAGAAUAUGGAAACUUCUAAGGGCUUCAAUUCUUGGGCCCUUGAAUUGGUGGGGACCACAAGCUAGUGAAAGGCAUUUAGUCAUUUGGGCUCUUCAAAAGAAGUUACAUAGAGAGACUUGGAGAAAGAAGUACUUUGGAGGCUUUGUCCAUAUGUGUGGGGACCACCUAGAUAGCUUUUAGUCAUCUUUCUUUUGUUGCUUUAAAAGGGGACAACGUACAGAAGCAAAGGACAUCUAGGGCUUUAGUUUUAGUUUUUUUAGUUUAGUUCUAGUUUCCUUUCUUUGGACUGGCCUCUGACACACGCCAGGUGUUCGACAAUAUUCCCCAACGGGAAGAUUUUCUCAUGAGGCGUGGUUAAGCUUUUCUAGUCAAGGGGACAACUGACGAUUUGGUUCGACAAUUACUGUGAGAUCGAAUCUGUUUUAAUUAUUUUCUUCAUUUAUUGGUAUUUAUAUGUUCCUUGAUUUUAAUUGCUAUGGCCUUGUGUAUGAUUGAUUAGUGCGCAAUAAUUAAUUAUUCAUAUAGGCUAUUUUUGCUAAAUAGGGGUAAUUGAAUCCGUAAUUGUUCGUUAUCUCUACCUCAGUAGCAACUGGCGUAAAUGGGUUUAUGUCAGGGGAGCAUAUGAUCUAAUUUAAACAAACCCUCGUAGCGUGUUUGUUGGUUAGGAUUGGGCCUUUCUAAUUAUUAAUGCAAUCUAGAAAUUAAAUCCUACGGUCGUACCUAGGGUUGUUUUUGGGUUAGAGAAAUAGCUAACGGUCGUACCUUAGCUAUCGAGAAAUUAAGGAAGGGUUGGUUGUUUAUCGCGUGCAUGACAACUAUAACUAAUCUAUUGCUAAAUGUUGGAAUUAUUUCUGCAUCAAUGAUCAGUGCAUGAACCAUUUCUGAUGUGUACCCUUGGCUAGAGUUUCCCCAAUCAUUUCUUUUAAUUAAUUAUUUUCUGCAGUUAAUUUAUUUAGUUAGCAUUUAAUCCAAAACCCCCCAUACUUUGGACUCUAGAAGAAACGAAUUAUCCCCAAUCCCUGUGGAUUCGACCCUACUCACCGCUAUAUACAAAAUCUGUAUCUUUAUUGAGUAGGUAUUUAUUAUUGUACAGGUUCGGCACCUGUCAAUUUUGGGGUGAACACAUUUUGUCAUUAAUUGUUGAUUGUUGGGGGACGUUUUUGGUAACACUUGAGUCUAUUUUGCUGAGUUCUGUUGAUAGAGCAGUUAUUUGGCACAUUUUACAGUGUUAUUUUGUCCUAAUUUUGGCUAUUCAUGGUGUUAAGAAUUGGAAUAUCACUCAUAUUUGAUGUUUGUGUGAAUUGUAGGUGGUCGGCAUUAAAAAUGACCUCUCAAGGCAAAUUUCUAGAAGACUCUUCGUCUCAGAGCAUGGCCACGCCAGAGAAGGUCGAUGUUACCGAAAAGCCGGACCCCGGUCCACGUGAACCGCAAGGAGCACGGGAUUAAAGCUCUAAAAGGCUAGCUUUUGUUUCAAUCAAUUGGGUCAGACAUGACUUGGCUCCUAGAGGCUUCAAUUAAAAAAGAAAAGAAAGGGCCAGACGUCGAGGGAAUGAGAAUGAGGAAACUAGGUCUACAUGGACCAGCUACACGGGAUAAAAACUCCAAUGAAGAGAAGAGCUCUGCUCCGCGUGGAUUUCCCCUGCGGCACUAUAUAAGACAACAAAAAAGGUGAUGCAGCGGAGAAUAUAGAUUAGCUUUGAUUUUCUUUUCGAGAGGGGUCAGGCGAUUGCAGACUUUUGUAGCUUUUCGGUUGUGACACUUGGACUCCUUGGCUUUUGUUUUGACUCUGCACAAUUUACGUUAGUUUUUGUUCGUACACUUGCGGCACCAAAGCAAAGACGAAGGCAGUGCCUUCUCUGUUGUUACUGCAAUUAAUUCCCCUUCCCCAAUUUUCGGCGAAUAAUUGAAUGAAUUCAAUUAAAUCACGCGGGAUUGACACGAUAAGGAGCGGCUAAUUUUCUCCUCUACCCAAAGGUUGACGCGAAGGCGCGGUCCAUAAUAUCUGUGAGAUCUAAUCGAAUUUUCAUUAUUUCUUUCAAUUUAUUGCUAUUCGUACGUUUCCUGAAUUAAUUGUUCAUGAGUAUUUUACUAAUUGAAUAUCAACGGCCGGGUAUUUGAUUUAAUUUAAUAGUCUACUGCCACGUUAAUUAAAUAGAAUCCGUAAUUGUUCAUUUAGUUAACACCUCGUGGCAACCACCAUAAUUGGCUUUAUGAUGGGAAAACGCAAGAUCUAAUUUAAAUAAACCCUCUUAGCGUAUUUAUUGGUUAGGGUUGGAUUCUUCUAGCUUUAAUGCAAUUGGGUAAUUAAAUUCUCACGGUCGUACCUAGGGUUGUUAUCUGGUUAGAGAAGCAGUCAAUGGUUGUACCUUGACUAUCGAAAAAGUAAGGAAGAACUGGUUGUCAGAGCUUAUUGAUAACUAUAACCAACCUAGUGAUGAAUGGAUGAAAUACCUUUGCAUUGAUGAGCAUCUGUCUUGAGUCCAUUGAAGUGCCGUUGGUUGAGUAAUUUCUGCGUCUUUUUGUUGAAUUGGAAGGCUAUUGUGACACUUCCAUUGCACUUUCGGAAUGCAUUGUUUCUGUAUUUGACUAAAUUCAGGCCACCAGUGCUUCUUGAUUGCAAUCACUGUGCUGUUGGGGUAUUUGUACAGCUUUGAGUACCUGAAUUGUGUUUGUGUUGGUUGGAGUACCAUUUAUAGAGAAUGGUGAGACCUAAAUCCUCCUCUAGGUCUAGGACACCUAGAACUUCUCAGCCUCCUCCCACCCUAGGGGCUAACGAUUGGCUCCAACUCCGAAUGCAAGUUAAGAGACCGGAGAUUCGAGUGACCCACAUUGACAUCAACUUGCAUACCAUGGUGCAGAAUUUGGCAACAAUUAUGCACCAUGCGGGUCUUGUUCCUCAGUUUCCGUCUGACCCACCCCUGUUUUGACGACUUCAGGGAAGCACCGGUGCUCUUUUGCUUACUUUUGCUAUUAAAUUAUCACAUUGAGGGCAAUGUGUGAUUUAGGUAUGGGGGGGAUCAGUUGUGGUACUAGUAUUUCCAGUUUUUGAUUUUUAAGUGUUUUUCCUUUGUUUUUAGUUUGAUAUUUUUCUCUUUUUCGUUUAUUUCUUUUAUUCGUGAUCAGCUCUUAUUUGAAUACCAAGUUUUGAUGUUGGAUUGUUGCCUCUAAUUCUGCUCUUGCCAAGUUUUAAUAAUAAAAGGGUAUCAAGUUAAUAUGGUUGAAUUCAGGAACAUCUCUUUGGUGAAUAUCAAUAAUUGCUUAACUUUUCCAAGUUUUGGUUAACUUUUCUAGGCAUAGGGAAUGAUUGUUGGCAUUUUUCAUGUAAAUUGGUCCAAUUAUUAAUUUUAGUUCUCUAUGUUUGGAAAUUUGAGGCUGACUGCUGUUAUUUUUAGUUAUUGUGUUAUAUGAUUGUAAAUAAUAGAUAACUGUACUCCAUUAGUUGUUACUACUGAGUAACCGGGGAUUUUCACCUAAAGUGUCGAUUCUCAUGUCAAAAGGUAGCAGUUACUAUGAGUGCGUGGUCCCGUAGCGAUUGGAGCUAAGUAACCGGGCUCCUCCAUCUGUCAAAUGUUGGAGUUCGCAUCAAAACGCUCUAAGGGUUAUAAACUAAGUCUUUUGUUAUUCAAAAAAAAAAAAGAAAAAAAGAAGCAGAAGAAAACAAAAGAAGCAGAUUGUGUUAGUAUAUGAAAAAGUCAGCUUGCCGAUUUGUGAUCUUAAUAUCGAGAUUUUGGUUAAUAGUUGGACCGUUUGCUGAUAAAUAUGAGCAACCAUUCCUUUUUCUUAGAUUAGUUUGCUUUAAAUUGGAAGAGUUGGUGGUUGGGAAGCUAAUCGGGGUAAUUUUUCUUUGAUCUUGACCUGUGAUGCUUGAUAUAUGUUUUUCUGGAUAUCUUGGCAAUACGGUAGUUGGAGCAAUAGCCAUUGUCAAAUUUUGGUGUUCAAUUUCUGCUCUCAUGCUUGAGGGCAAGUAUGGUUUAGGUGUGGGGGGAAUUGAUAGGGUGUUAAUUGUUAAUAAUUUUAUUGCUAUUUUUCCCCUUUGUCCUUGCCAAAUAUUAUUUUAAUUGUUAACAUAUACUUAUUUUUGGUAUUUGGACCAAUCUACAGGAAGUGGAACUGACAAAUGCUAAAAAGGAGAUUUUAUUGAGAAAAAUCCUUCACAUGCUAGAGCCUCCAGCGGAUAUACAAGUUGGGCCCACAUGGUGUUACAAAUUCGGUUGCUGAUGGGGAGCUCUUAUUAUUGGGAGUUGACUUGUACGUGUAGGAGUCCUCCUACCAAGAGGAAACAAGAAAAAAGGAAUUCGGCAGAGGCCCAUCUUUUGUACUUAGCUUUCUCAAUUCGGUAGGGACCAUGGACUAGAGGUUUUCAUUAGUGAUUGGACUUUAAAAGGGAAGAAACGUAUAGAGGCUUGGGGAUUAUUAUGAUUAGCGUAGCUUUAGUUUUAGUGGUUAGCUAGCGUUUCCUUUUCAUGCGCACGAGGUGCUCGACAAUAUUUUUCAACGGGAAAAAAAAACAUCUUUUACUCUUGCUUUCUAGUGAAAAACUUGAUGCCUUUGCAAUCAAUUAAUUUGCGUGGAGAUUUAAUUAUGCGGCGUGGCUAAGCCUUUCAUCUAGUUAAGGAUCAACUCGAUGGUACAGUCCCAAAUAUCUGUGAGAUCUAAUUAGUUUUCACGCGUUUCUUAAUUUGUUAAUAUUUGCACGUUGCCUAUUUGAAUUUUCAAGGGAUUAUUUUGUUAAUUGGAUGUCAAGGGCCCGAUGUUCAAUAUGGCUUAUUAAUCUCCUUCCAAAUUAGUCAAUUAAAUCCGUAAUUGUUUGAUUGAUUAAUAUUAGUGGCAACUGGCGUGUUUAUACACUAGGGGAACGUGCAAUCUAAUUUAAAUAACGCUCGUAGCGUGUUAUUGAUCGGGGUUAGGUUUUUCUAGUUAUUAAUGCAAUUGAAAAAUUAAUUCCUACGAUCGUACCUAGGAGUAUUUUCUGAUUAGGAAUAAUCAAUGGUCGUACCUUGAUUAUCAAUAAAUAAAAGAAAAAUUGGUCGUUAGAAUUCGUCGGCGACUAUAACUAGCCUAUUAAUAAAUUAAGUGAACCUCCCUUGCAUCAAUGAUCGAGUAAGUGGACUGUGUCUGAGUAGUUGUAUCAUUGGCUAGAAUUUAUCUAUUCUUGAUUUAAUUCCUGCCUAUAUUCGUGCAAGUUAAUUAUUUAUUUUUAGUGAAUUUUUUAAUUAUUUUUAGUUUUACUCCGAUAAAAUCCUCCUUUAUCAAUUGGAAUCUCAAAGAGACAAAUAUCCCCAGUCCUUGAGGAGAUGACUCUACUUGCCACUGUCUACUAUUUAGUAAGUUUUGUCAACUAAUUAAUUCUGAUAUAUCGGAUUAAGCAAACUUUUCGAGAAUAGGGUGAAUCAAGUAACCCAUUACACACCUAGAGUCCCUGCUCCAGUAUUUAGGAUUAAUUAUUGACUGUUUUUAGUGGUAUUUAUAUUUUUAUUAUUAUUAUUGCAUAGGCUCGACACCUGUCAAUUUUUGUGAUGUUGACCCAAACAACAAAGGACGGGUUAUGUGAUGUUGACCCAAAUAACAAGUCUUCACUAGUGAAUGUGAUAUUUGUGAUAUCCACCUCUUUAUUACCAGUGGGCACGUGAGUUAUCUCACAAGGAGAUUCGCGAGUAUCAUCCUUUGUUCUUCAAUAUCAUCAACUUGCGUUGUGUGACAUGAGACCAUAUCAAUAUCAAAGAAUCUUUUAGAUAUGAAUUCUUUUAAAAUGAUAGAAACUCGCGACUUUUGCUUGAAUACUUGAUUUUCUUGAAGAUUGUGAUUAUUAUUAUUUUUCUCUAUAUUCUUCUCUUUUCUCUUCCAGACCAUUCUACUUCUUGUUAAGGCCUUGUUUACCUUAUUAGAUGGACGAGAGUUUCAUCUUCAUCUUCGCGUGAUCAGAGUUCAUCCAUCAUCAUCUACGUCUGAUUGUAAUGACUUCUCAUCUUCAUAUUCAUAUUUUUGAAGAGCUGAAGGGGCGAUUUUUUGUUCAACUUCUAUAGGAUCAAAUGAUCCAAAUUGAAUGGUUGGCAAUAUAGGUAUCGUAAACUUUUCGACUUCCAUGGACUGUAGUGAAUCAACGGAGGUUUGAUUCAUACUUGCUUUGUUUUUUUCAAGAAAAUUUUUUUCUUGUCUUGCCAAAUCCAUCAUCUCAUCUUUAAAGACAAAGUAUUUUUGAAUGGGAUGUCCAACCAAGCAAUGAUACUUGAUUUGGAUCAUCCGUAUUACUAAUCUCGUCAAGUCAGUUCAUCUUGGAAGCAUGAUCAAGUUCAUGCUUAACAAAUUAUCAAAUAUACUAGGAACAUCAGAAUCAAGGAAAUUGUACUUCUUGUUUUGCAUCUCCUUGAGUGUUGGUUUUUUCUUUCCUUCGUCUUGAUGCAUACUGGUUUUCUUGUCUUCUCUUUUAGCAGUUCUGAGAAUAAUCUUGAAAGGUGUUAUACUUGCAGCUAUGGCCUCUUUCUCACUUUGAUUGGGGGCUUGCCUCCUUUCCUCACUUCUUGUUUCUCCUUAGCCUUGCGAGAAUCAGGAAUUGGCGGCUCUUGUCCAUCAAGGUUAAUUUCUAUCUUAUGAGUUUUUGGGGAUAAUUCAUCAAAUAUUUCUGGUUAUACCCCUUACAAGAUAUAUCUGAAUCCCCAAUGCAAGUCUUGAAUACACAUCUCAAUAGCGGAAGACUCGAAAAUUCGAUCCUUACAGUUUAGGCUUAGAUUUUUUCGAGCGAUUGAUAAAGUUAAUAACAUGUUCAUUCUUUCACUAGCACAUAUUUUAGAGUUCAAUUAUGCUGACAGUCCUUUUCGUGCUAUAGAAGCAAUUAAGGAAUUCCUACUCUAAUUGCUCCCAACUGUCAAUGCUGCUAGAUUCUAAAUCUGUGUACCAAUCAAACGUGUUACCCUUCAAUGAGUGAACAAAUUGCUUAACUAGCAAGUCACCAUUAGUGCCAGCAUUGUUACAAUUUUCGACAAAGUGCGCAAUAUGUUGUUUAGGGUUACCUUUGUCAUCAAAUUAUUGAAACUUUGAAAAUUGAAAUCCUACAAGCAUCUUCAAACAUUUACUCUUGUGGUGUAAGGUUUGAUAUAAUUGCUAUAUGACUUGGUAUUUCCACCAAUCUUGUCCUUGAUCGUACCUUUGAUAAACUCCUUUAAAUUAUCAACAUGAAUGGUACUAUCAGGAGAGAUUGAAAACUCCUUCAUUAUUCGUGACUUGGUAUCCUCUUUCUCUUUCUUCCUUGAUGAUGAGUUACCUUCAUAUUUUUUACCAUGGCCAUUAGUUUGGCUAUUUUGGCAUCUUGACUUUGCACGUGCCCUGCUAGCCCUUCGACAAUUUGGCAAGAUUUGAAAUUUGAUCUCUACGGUUGUGGUGUUAGUCAUCAUGAUGGGCAUUACCACAGAAGUAGCUAAAUUGCUUGAGCUAUCAGCAGAUUCAUCAUGGACUCCCUUCUUGUUGGGAAAAAUCUCAAAAUUUUUUCUUUCAACCACAGCAUUCGCCUUAACCCUAUCUACUAAUUUCUUAGCCUUGCUCCUUGUCAUAGGUGUAGUAUACUGCAUCUCCUGAGUUGUUGGGAUGCCAGCAACUGAGCCUUCAAGAGCAAAACUCAUCUUCUUGGACUCCAUUGAUUCUUGAAACAAGUAAGCUAUUCAAAGAAAAGAGAUGAAAAACAGAGAUGGUCCCACCAGACGUGUCAUAAAAUUUGUGAGCAUAAAUUUUGUUGCCUAAAAUAAAGACAAGAAAAUUUGCAUAAAUAUCAAAUUUAUUAAAUCAAAUAAUAAAUGGGUUAUAAUUUUUGAAAAUUCUUGAAUUAAAGAUAUUAAUCUUCUAAUUCUUCUCUUCAAAAACUUCAAUUGAAGGGUUGAAAAGACUUGUUUACCGAUCAAGAGGGUGUUUCCUACGAUUUUGACAUAGAAAACCGCUGAUUUGAUGAUGACGUUAAAUAGUUGAUGUUGGGUUUGGAUUUUAUUCCACCAAUCGUUCAUUUUGUUGGAUUUGAGUUUUAUACCACCAACUGUGGGAUAAAACCCAAUCCCAAUAAAAUGAACGGUUGGUGGGAUAAUACUCAAAUCCAAUAAAAUGAAUGAUUGGUGGGAUAAAAUCCAAACCCAACACUUGUAUCUUUAAAUCUUCAAUGUCGAUAGAAGGAGGAUUUAUUUUAACUUGAUUUGGAUUUGAAUUUAAGGGAAAAUGCUCUCGAGAGAAUUUGACAGAAUUUCUUCAAAAUUUAGAAAUUUCAAUGUGUUUUUGUACUAAGAGAAUACCUUUAUUUAUAGGCAAAAUAUGUAGAUUAUGUCUUCAAGAAAAUUCUCCAGAACCUUCUUGCGUUUGGGUAACUUGUACCUCAAGAAACUCAUUUAACUUAGGUUUAAAUAGUGGGCCUAUUCAAAUAAUCCAUUGUGAAUUAAUACAUCAAUUAAUCCACUUUAAUUUAAAUGGGUAACACAUUGAUUUGAUUUGAUUUAAUAGCCCAUAUAUCAUUGGUCUAUUUUGUCAAUCAAAACAUAAUAGACUGCUAUAAUUUAAUUUAAUGUAAUCAAGAUCAAUUUAAUUUAUUUAAUCUUGACUAAAUAAAUUUUCUUUGUCUACAGCAUGUACGUGUAAUUUUCCAAAUAAUGAUACUUUUCAAAGAGAGUUUUCAAAUAAUGAAAGUUCUAAAACAAGGCAUUCACCGAAUGCGUGAAUGUAUCUUUUUAAACAACGCAUUUAGUCAAUACGUUUUUAAGGAAAAAUGCCUAUACAAAUAAAAGAAUGAAUUCUAUAAAUGUGUCUUUUGAGGAAACAACACAUUUACUAAGUACGUUUUUUCACUCUUUGGGAAGAAGUUCAAAAAACACCACCAUUUGAAAGGUAAUUUUAGAAAAUCCCACUUUUUGAGAAUUUACUCAAGCUUGUACUUGACAAAAUGUGUUGGGAAAAUUGUGACGUCAGGUGAAUUGUAAAACUGUUGUGCCAUCGUAAUGUAUGUUUUGCACUAGAUUGAGUAAGAAUUAUAUCAAAAUAGUCGGCCACAAUAUAGGAAUGUGAAAACUUUGUGUUAAGUAAGUUGUAAUAUUUUUGUAUCAUCUAACGUAUAUUUGAAAACGAUUGAGAAUAUAAUAUAUGGAAACAACAGGUCACAAUGUUGAAAUGUCAAACCUCUUGUUUCAAACCAAAUACUUAUUAAACUCCUUCAUAUCGCUAACGAAUUUUGAUUCUGAAGUAAUAAUAGUUUUAUUUAAUUAUUUGCCUUUUUUGGAACAAUAUUAAAAUGUAGCCAUAAAUUUAAAUUCCAAAAUUGUUGAAUACUUGAGGAAUUCUAGAAAUGGCACUGAGAGUCAAAGUUCACCUUAUUCAAAAGUCACCAGCCAUCUCAGAGUGCAUGUUUCUAUUGAGUUUCAGGUUCAAUGUGUACCCACUUCCACUUUUGGCUGAUCAAUCAGGACUAAGGUUCCGUUUGAUAAAACUGAAUCUGAAUUCUGAAAUCUGAAUACUGAAACAAUUAAUUUGCUGAAUUUUAAGUUCUGAAAAGAAAUAUAUGAAUGUCUGAAUUUUAAUGUUAAAUCUAUUUCUACUGUUUGAUAAACAUUUAUAACUGAAUGCUUAAUAAGUUAAAUUUGACAAAUUUGCCCUUAAUCUUUUCAUCCAAAAAAGAAGUAGAACCUAUGAUUUAAUUAGGUAAAAAUGUUAGGUAUGAAAAUGACAAUAUUUAUUUUUAAAUCAAAUUAAUAUAAAAGAUGAAAUAUAUUAUAUGCGGAGUGGAGAAGAUGUAAAAAUCAUUCAAAAUGGAGAAAAAAGAAAUAGAAAAUCAUUAGAUAGAGAAUAUUAGAUUGUUUAAUUAGAUAAGAAUUUUGAACAUAAUUAACAAACAAUGGUAGAUUUGAUAGAUAAGAUAAGGUAAUUGAAGUAAUUCUAUUGAUUCUUAUCAGAAUUAAGUAUUCAGUUAGGAUUUUUGUGCUGAAAAAAAUACACACAAUUUCAGCACUACUUAACAAGUUCAGCAAAUAGAUUUUCAUUUAUCAAACAUUCAAAACAUCUAAAUGUCUAAAAAAAUUUAGAUUCAACACUUUUUUAUAUUAUUAAACAGACCCUAAGAGAAUAAAAUAACUUGCUUGCUGUUAGCGAUGGCAACGGGGCGGGGUUGGGGCGGGGGACCCCUCCCCCGUCCCCCGCCCCGUUGCCUAUUAGUUCCCCCUGUCCCCCGCCCCCCCCCCCGCUUCCCCCGCGGGGUUAAUAAAAUUUUAUUAUAAUUAAAUUUUAAUAAAUAAUCAAUUACUAAAAUAUCAACACAUCACCAAAUUAUUAUUCAUUGUAAUUUUACAAUUAAAACUCAUAAAAACAAUCAAACAAAAGUUAUUUGAAUACAAUCCAAUAUGAUGAAAUAAAUAUAACUAAAAUAGUUAAGUUUUCGCUUUUAGUACAAAUGCAAUCACUAAUUCAUUAUUGUGUUUGUGCUUUUCUUUUGAGAAAAAAGUGUUAUUCUAUUAAGUGUAAUUAGAAAUUUAGUAUAAAUGUAUUAGUAAAUUUAGUAUAACUAAUUAAUAAAUUUUAUUAGUAGACAUGUAUAAUUAUUCAUAUAAUUGAUAAUAUCAAUUAUAUUACAUAAACUACUAUACAUUAUAUAAUACAUCUAACUAAUAAUAUCAUUAUCAUAAGUUUAUAACUAAUUAACUUACAUAUUAUAUAUAAUUAUAUAUAUAUUUUUUUUAGGGUGGCGCGGCGGGGGAUGGGGCGGGGGUAUACUCCCCCGUCCCCCGCCCCGUUUCUAAGCGGGGGGAAAAAUUCCCCCCCCCGCCCCAACCCCCGCCCCGAGAGCCCCCCGUGGGCACCCGCCCCCAUUGCCAUCCCUACUUGCCGUUUUUAAAAAAGGAUUCAUUAUUUUUUCUUUGAGCAUUGGUAUCUCCACCCUCAAUGACACUAAUCUGGAUUCAAUAUGAGGAGUGUCCGUAGAGGCUGACUCUUACUCGAGAGUAAAGACUUGACCCAGAGCUUUUCAAGGCGUCAUCAUAUGUAGGAGUCAAACUUAUGAACUCUGUGCAUAGAUAAUUUAGCUCCAGUCUGUGGAAUGUCUUGAUGUUAGGUGAGUUGUAAUAUUUUGGUAUCAUCUAAUGAAAUUUUUAAAAGAUUGAGAAAUAAUAUAGAGCAAAACACCAAUUUAUUCCCUAAAUUAUUUUGCUAAAAUCAAAAUACUCCGUAAAUUUAUUUUGAGUCAGUUUAGUCCCCCAACUAUUUUUACAAAGCUGAAAUAGUCCUUAAACUUUAUUAUGAGCCAAUUUAGUCUCUCAACUAUUUUGUUUAAGUGAAAUAGUACCCCACCUUUAUUUAUUUGGCCAGUUUGGUCCUUGUUUGACUCAUCCACCCAAUUUAUCAACCUUGUGCACUAACAAUCAGGGGCAAAAUAAGAAAUUUAGUCAAUGCCCUUACUAAAAUGAUAGAAGAAUUAGAUAUCUGGCAAAAUUAAAAACAAAAUUGAAUCAUAUAGAGAACAAAAAAAUAUAGUGUUUCUUAUGGAGGAAAAAAAUGGAGCUGAUGCCUAAAAUCUCACAUGGAUCCAACUCAGUCCAUUGAAUGGAGAAAAGGGAAAAUAACACAACAAGAAUAUGUUAAAAGUUGGAAAAUGUGCUAUAAUUAUGAUUACUCCUUUAAGAAAUAAAGCUGAAAGAAGCUCAAUUUCUUUUUGUUUUCCAUAUUAUUCAAUUUCGUUGUCGAUUUUUCGAUAGAUGUAUGUUUUUUUUUUUGUUUUAAUAAGGGCUAUGAUUGGAUUUCCUAUUAUGCCAUUGGCUGUCGAUGCUACACUUGAUAAAUUAGAUGGAUCAUCCAAAUAAAGACAAAAUUGGCUAUGUAAACAUUAGUGAGGGACUAUUUCAGCUUAAGAAAAAUAGUUGAGGGACUAAAUUGGCUUAUAAUAAAAUUAGGGACUAUUUCAGCUUUGUAAAAAUAGUUGAGAGACUAAAUUGACUCAUAAAAUGUUUAGGGACUAUUUUGACAUUAAGGAAAUAGUUUUGGGACUAUAAACAUUAGGUCACAAUGUUGAAAUAUCAAAACCCAUGUUUUGGACCAAAACUCAUAGAACUUCUUCACGUCGCUAACGAAAUUUGAUUAUGAAGUAAUGCUAAUUUUAUUUAUUAUUUGUUUCCUUGCUGGUCUUCUGUCUUUUUGGUUAUUCCAAAAUUGUUGAAUAUUUAAACGAAUUCUAGAAAGGGCACUGAGAGUCAAAGUCUUAUUCAAACAGCCAGCUAUCUCAAAGUACAUAUUUUUUUAUUAUCAGGUUCAAUAUGUAUCUAUUGCAAUUUUUGAAUGACCAGCCAUGACUAAGAGAAUAAAAUAAUUCACUUGCUGUUUUUAGAUAUGAAUUCAUGACUGUCAGUAGUCUAUAAAUACACUUAUUGCUCACCACUCUUUGCACCGCAAAAUCUCUUCAAGAUCCAACAAACCCUCCUGUUCUUGGUCUUUGUCCAUUUGUGAAAAAACAAAUUAAAGCGUCAUGGCCCCUAUCACUUGUAGUGCUGAGAUGACCUCCCCAAUCCCUCCUGCAAGGUUGUUCAAGGCCGCCAUCCUUGAUGACCACCCUUAAUGCCACAGGCUAUUAAGAGUGUGGAAAUCCUUGAAGGAGAUGGUGGCGUUUGAACCAUUGAGUUGAGCACAUUUGGUGAAGGUUAGAUGUUAUAUUAAAUGUAGAACCCCAAAUUUAAGGAUCUAAUAAUAAUCAAUGCGUGCAGGGUUACAGAAUUGGAGGGAUAAAACAAAUACUCAAAAUAUACGUGGAAGAAAAGAAAAAUAAUAAAUUCAACUCACAAUAUUAUUGAAAUUUCAAACAAUGAAGAAAAUCAUACCACAAUGAAUUCAACUGGUUCUAAUAAUAAUCAAAGCAUACAAGGUUACAGAAUUAAAAGGAUAAAACAAACACUCAAAAUAUAUGUGGGAGAGAAGAAAAUAAUAAAUUCAACACACAAUAUUAUUGAAAUCUCAAACAAUGAAAAAAGUCACACCAUAAUAGAAAACCUUGCUAAUGCUUCUAGAUUCUUUCUCUUGAGAAACCAACCUAAAUAAUGUUCUAUUUAUAAUCUACCAAACUUGUUAGGAAAGAAACCACUUGCAUAAGAAAUUACCAAAUAAUACAGAAAUUCCUAAAUCACACAACUACUAAAAACAUAACUCAAAUAAAACUAAAAAAUAAAUAAAUAUUACUAGGCUUAGUUUAAUUUGUCAACAUUGCCUCCUUUAAACCAUACUAUCCAUUGAGAUAGGUUCAACACCAUCUCGAGCAAUAAUUUCUAUGCAAAUCUAUGUUGUAGUACACUUGACAUGAAACUCUAACUUGUUACCAGUUAUUAAUUUCAUUUUUACACGUAACAGUGGACACACUAUGUAUUGUGUAAACAACUUCUCAGCAAUUUCUUCUUGAUCAAAGAACUCACUUAUACAAACCCAUUCAUCACCAGAAUCACCAUAUUUACCACCAAUGUAAGUGCCUAAAAAUACAAAAUCAUAGAUUUCUUUCUCGCUAAAAUUAUCAUCACCAAAUAAUUCAAAAUAACCACUACUACAAUCAUCCAAAAUUUUCAUACUGUCAGUCAACUCUUUUGGAGUAAAAUAUUUUUCAACUCCGAUGACAUCCAUAUCUAUUAAAUCAAACAUUCUCCCAUCACUUUGAAGAGAGUCCGAACCAACGAAUUUUUCAACAACAAUUUCAUGUUCUCUUCUCUUAUCAAAUCAAAAUUUUUUUCUUCUUUUGUCAAAUUACCAUAUUAUUUUUUUCAACAAAUUCAUUACUUCUAAUUUCUCCAAACAAGGUACGCAAAUCAAAACUAUCAAUUGAUUCAAAAUUUUCGAUAUCACCCAUAUUAUCAACAAAUCUAUCAUUUUUAAAAUCCACAAACCAAUACCAAUAAAUAGACUUCGGUUUGAAAGCAUAAUUUCUCCCAAUCGUGUGCAAAACAUAGUAAAUAUCCUUCCAAAAUCUCUAAAGUAUUUUAAUUAGUACGACCAAUAAAGGUUUUAUAAACACUUUUUGCCAUUAUUUUACGCAUCACUUGAAAGAAUAAUUGUGCCUUUUUCUUAAAAACAUGUUUUGACAACUUACUUGCAUCAACCCAACAAAGAAUAUCAUCCAAAUUACAUUGUUUAACAUAUUUUUCCACUAUUAAAAUCCAACCAAAAUAUGUAUGUCCAUUUGUGCUUAUAGGAGUCAAUAUGAAAAAUUUUUCACCGUGAAUCAGAUCUUUAUAAUAUUCCAUUAUUUAACAAUUUGUAUACCUGGAUAAAUUUUUUUCCUCCAUCCUGUCAUGUUUUCUUGGCCUCCCUGGUUGACUAACCAAAUUAUUGUUGUAUGUAUACCCAUGCUCGUCAAACCUCAUUUGUGUACACUCGUAAGGAGUGGUUCUGAGCUUCUUGUGAAUGCUCAGUACCAAGAAGUAGAAGAGAGAAUGCAUAAGAGAGAAUUAACUUGGCUAUAGAAAUAGGAAACAAUUGAGGGAUUUUUUAAGAAAUUAAUUCUCCAGCUACCACUUUUGGAAAUUUUCUAUCAACAACUAGUUACCAAAACACUAGCACAUAAUAAGAAAUCAGGAUAAUUUCAGAAACCUCCCUUGAGGCUUUUAAUAACCUCAAGAAGCUCCCCUCAAUAUUUUAAAAUUACACGUACCUUCCCUAUUGGUGCAAAAGUACUCUACUACCCCUAAUAGGAUACUCAAAAGACUUUUUUUUAUGGGAAAAAUGAAGCUCAGAAAUCCAAGCAAAAUCAAAAAAAUCAAUUGAUUUUCUCUUUUAGCCUUUUACACUUUUGCCUUCUACCUUUGCUCACUUUCCCAUCCCAAUCUUCCUACACCCGCUUUCCCAAUCCCCUUUCCCCAACUUUUCUCCUCUACUUCAAGACCAAUUUUUGUCUAUCUAUCCUGGCUUGUGCUUUGUUCCAUUCCCUUCCCUUCUCCUUCUUUGAUUUCGCCUACAUCUCCCUUUCUCUUUGCAAAAGUGACUAGGCUCAUGUCUCUCUUUUUCCCCCCUAUUCUAAGUGUAGUGGGUUUGAUUAUUUUGCAUCUAUUUUAUUUGAUUUGGGUUGAUUAUGGGUGAUAGAACUUGGCGAUGUCAAAUAUCAAAAGUUUGAUAGAUGGAUAUUGGGCUUUAGACAAUGAUUUGCUGAAAAAAAUGGCUGCAAUGAGACAAAGAGGCAAGGGGAUUUGAGUGUGGGGUUGAUUGUUGAUAAAUUGUUGUUUUGGACAAAAUUUGAGGUUGAGUUUUAUUAAAUUUGAUAGCAAGUGGCGAGUUUUGUUCAGGUUGCGGGAAAUAAAUUAGAUUGUGGUUUCUUGGGCACCCACAGUUGUUGGAAUUGGUUUUGAUUCAAAUUAGGGUGGUUACUUGAUUUUCCUAAUAGUGUUGCUUAAAAGCACACGAUCAUCAAAAUUCCUUAUUUUUAUCUUUUGUUUUUUCUUGUAGAAAAGAUUUCACGACUUUCGUGAUAGUCUAAUUUGGAAGAAGGCAAUCAAGGGAUGCAAUCAACAUUUAGCAAAAGCUCUUGUUCUUUCCUUUGUAAUUUUUAGGGUAAAAAGGGUAGUUUAGGGUAUUUGAAGGAAAUGAUAGUCUAUUGGGUCUAUUUUCAAGCAUAAAUAGUGAACGUAAGGGAGGUUGGUGUAAUUUCUGAAACCUAAGGGAAAUUGUCUGAAAUUGUUCGAGACCUCAGAGGAGGUUUUCGAAAUUAUCCCUAAGAAAUCAAAUGCGAAACUUGAUUAGUACACGCACACACGACACCGCACCACGCCGCGCGUGUGUUGAGGAUUGGUGUCCGUAACCAACGACAAGCAGGUUUUCAAUUUUUUUUUCCUUUCCUGGAUUCUCCAGAGAUGGUGUCAGCUUCUAUUAUUGAUGAGCAGGAGGAAAUCCACAAUAUACAGUACACAUCACCCAUAUUCUUUUUAAUUGAACAAUGUAUGAAAUUAUGGUGAUUCGAAAUUAAAUUAUAUGUUUAUUGGGCACUGAAUCCAAAAUAAGAGUUGGAAAUGUAUUGUGACAACAAUUGUUAACAUAGGCCACAAAUGAUCAAAACAAAUAUUUAAGGUUUAAUAUGACAUUAUGGGUUCAGAAUAUAGUUACUUGUUAUGAAACAACUAAAAGUAUGGAUAUCCAUUUGUAUUUUCAAGAGGAUCAAUUCAUAAUUCAUUGCUCCCAAGAGGAUUAAUUCAUAAUACAUUGCUACAUUAUGUAAAGGAAUUGCAUUGGAUGAACGGUUUCAAUCCAUAAAAGCUAUUUAUGUAUUGGAUGAACCGUUUCAUAUGGCUAUUCAUGUUCUUGUAGUAAUGAGUGUUUAAUAGAAUUGAUGUACCUUUAAUUUUGUAGUACCUAUAUAUACAGGUACUUUGGCACCUCUUGGGUAUACUUUUUGAUUAGUUGGAAUAAUAAGAAAAUUAUUCUUCAUUUCUGUACUUCUUUCUCUAAUAUUUCAAUUCCUAUUAUAGUAGUUCAUUUUUUUUAGUUUUACAACACGUUAUUAGCAUGAGUCUCUACUUUUGAACAAAAAGGUGAAAACGGAGCCUCUACCUUAAAAAAAAGUGAAACACGAGAUUCUGCCAAAAUUUUGCCCGUAUUUUUCCGGCAACUUCUGUCCACUUAUUGAGAAAUGGAUGCCAAAUAUUUGGGAUUAAAUAAUGGUGAUGAUGAUAUUUGUCUCAUUGAUAGUGCUACUACGCACACUAUAUUGAAAAAUAAAAAAAAAAUUUCUUGUAUGAAAAUGGGAGAGACAAAUGUUAAUACCAUAACUGGUAGUGCAAAAUUGAUUGAACGCUCCGGAAUAGCCUCUCUAUUUCUUCAUGAAGGGACUAAAAUUGUCGUAAAUAAUGCACUACUGUCUCCCAAGUCUCGGAGAAAUUUAUUGAGUUUUAAAGAUAUCUGCGAAAAUGAAUACUAUAUAGGGAUAAUGACUGAGACAAAUGGAGAAUUUUUAUUAAUCACAAGUAUCAUUUCUGGGCAGAAAUGCGUAGUAGAAAAAUUACCUUCUUUUUCUUCUAGCUUAUAUUAUGCACAAAUUAGUGCAAUUGAAAUUUAUCACCUAGUAGACCAGAAGUCUACUCAUCCCAAUAAUUUUAUGAUUUGGCAUGAUCGUCUCGAAAAUACUGAAUCUAUAAUGAUGAGACGAAUAAUCAAGAAUUUACAUGGUCACUCAUUGAAAAAUUAAAAGAUAUUAAAAGCAAAUGAAUUCUCCUGUGUUGCUUGUUCCCACGGAAAAUUAAUUAUUAGACCAUCACCAGUUAAAGUUGGGACUGAAUUCCCUACAUUUCUAGAACGAAUUCAUAGUGAUAUAUGUGGACUCGUAGAUCCACCAUGUGGACCAUUUCGAUAUUUUAUGGUGCUAAUUGAUGCAUCAACUAGAUGGUCACAUGUAUUUUUAUUAUCUACUCGCAACUUGAUAUUUGCGAGAUUGCUUGCUCAAAUAAUUAAAUUGCGAGCACAAUUUUCAGACUAUCUAAUAAAGAAAAUUCAUUUAGAUAAUGCUGGUAAAUAUUCGUCACAUGCUUUUGACAAUUAUUGCAUAUCUAUUGGAAUAACUAUUGAACAUCUUGUAACUUAUGUUCACACACAAAAUGGUCUAGCCGAAUCAUUUAUUAAAUGGUUACAAUUAAUUGCUAGACCAUUGUUGAUGAGGUCUAAACUUCCUUCAUCUGCUUGGGAAUAUGCUAUAUUAUAUACAGCAAUACUUGUGAGAAUUAGACCGACAAGUUAUCAUACUUAUUUUCCUCUAUAAUUAACUUUUGGUUAUAAGUCAAAUAUUUCUCAUUUACGAAUAUUUGGUUGUUCGGUUUAUGUUCGAAUUGCACGGCCCCAAUGUCGUAAAUUGGGUCCACAAAGAAGAUUGGGGAUAUAUGUCGGAUAUAAAAUCACCUUUAAUUAUUAAGUAUAUGGAACCAUUGACAGGUGAUUUAUUUACUGCAAGAUUUGCAGAUUGUCAUUCUAAUGAAUCACAUUUUUCGACAUUAGGGGGAGAUAAAAAUCAAUCGAAAAAGAAAAUCACUUGAAAAAUAUCAUUCAAUUUUCUCGAUUCUCGUACCAAAGAAUGUAAACUAGAAGUUCAAAGGAUUAUACAUUUGCAAAAAAUUACAAAUCAACUACUGGACGUAUUUAAUGACUCCAGAAGAGUUAUUAAAUCACAUAUUUUUAUUGAAAAUACUCCGAUUAAAAUUAAUGUCCUUGAAGGACAAAUUACAAGUGUUAAUGAGUGUAAAGUGCGCCUGAAGCGUGGGAGACCUCUUGGUUCUAAAGAUAAAAAUUCUCGAAAGAAAAGAGAAAUUGAUGAAUCAACAAUUAGUGACAAAAUUCAACCUCCUGAAGAAGUCGCUCCUAAAGAGCCAAUUCUUGAAGAUAAUGAAAUUAUAGAAAAUUCAAUAAAUUUUGUCGCUUCAGGAAAAAGUUGGAACAAAAAAAAAUUAUUAAUAGUAUUUUUGCAUAUAAUGUAGCACUUGUUAUUAUGGUAGGUAAUGAAGAUCGUGAGCAUAGAUCGGUUGAUGAAUGUCGACGUAGAAAUGAUUGGCCAAAAUGGAAAGAUGCGAUUCAAUCUGAAUUGGACUUACUAGCUACAAGAAAAGUUUUUGGGCCUGUAGUCCAAACACCUGAAGGUGUAAAGUCAGUAGGAUAUAAAUGGGCAUUUGUGAGAAAAAGAAAUGAGAAAAAUGAAAUCGUGAGGUAUAAAGCAAGACUUGCAACCCAAGGAUUUUCACAAAGGCCUGGAUUUGAUUAUGAUUACACGUAUUCACCUGUAGUGGAUGCUAUCACAUUUAGAUAUCUUGUGAGUUUUGCAGGACAUGAAAAAUCAGAUAUGCAUCUAAUGGACGUCGUUACUGUAUAUUUAUAUGAAAAUUUUGAAAAUGAUAUUUAAACGAGAAUCCCUGAAGGAUUCAACAUGCCUGAAGCAUGCAAAUCAAAUUUUAAAGAUAUUUAUACUAUUAAAUUACAAAGGUAUUUGUAUGGGUUCAAACAAUCUGGACGUAUGUGGUACCGCCUCAAUGAAUGUUUAACUAAAGAAGGCUAUACCAAUAAUCUAAUACAUCCAUGUGUCUUUAUCAAGAAAAAUGGACUAAUUUUAUGAUAAUUGUUGUCUAUGUUGAUAAUCUUAAUCUGAUUGGAACUCUUGAAGAGAUUCAAAAUAGUGUUGAAUAUUUGAAGAAGAAGUUUGAAAUCAAAGAUUUUGGAAAAACAAAAUUCUACAUUGAUUUACAAAUUGAGUGAUAGGUUGCAAUUUUAUCAUUUAUUUUAUUAUUAAUUUUCCCUAUUACUUAACCCAAUGUGAAUUAAUUAUUAGAUUCUACUCACUUUUAGUAUUUUACAUAUAUUUCAGGGAGUAGAACGAAAAUACCAUAAUAAGUGCCGAUUUGACAGUUAUCAGGAAAGAGUUCAAGUAGCAGGCAUCCAGGGCAUUUUUGGAACAAGGAGAUACAAGUCCUUUUUGGUAAUUCGCAGAGCGCAGCAUUAAAAGGAGGAACGAAGGGCUGAAGUAGGGAGUCUUCUUCCCCCUGGGAGGAACCGCCGCACAGCAGAGGGCUGUCUGGUCCUCUUAGUUUUUCCGUUUCUUUAGUUUUAGCUUCGGAUUUUGACUUUUCUUCUCGUAGGAAUUUUGGGUAGCCUUGAGCUUAGCAACUUUUGUUGACCCUUUUUUGGCCUUUUAGCUAGUUUGUUCUUACGCAUGGAAGAUGGCUGAAUAGCUGAGGCUUGUUCUUUGUUUUUCUUUGACUUUUCCUUUUGGUUUGCUUCCUGCGGACGCCCAGACCGAAGGAAAACUAUGAAGUCCCUUUUGUAGCUUUCUCUCUUUAUUAAAUAGACGAAUUGAAUUCCCUCAACUUGCGAAUUGAUGGCCGCAGCUUUUGCUUCAAUUUCUUGUGGGUUUAGUUCAUUAAUUAUGAACUAAUUCUACAAUUCUAGUCAAGGGGACAACUGACGAUUUGGUUCGACAAUUACUGUGAGAUCGAAUCUGUUUUAAUUAUUUUCUUCAUUUAUUGGUAUUUAUAUGUUCCUUGAUUUUAAUUGCUAUGGCCUUGUGUAUGAUUGAUUAGUGCGCAAUAAUUAAUUAUUCAUAUAGGCUAUUUUGCUAAAUAGAGGUAAUUGAAUCCGUAAUUGUUCGUUAUCUCUAUCUUAGUAGCAACUGGCGUAAUUGGGUUUAUGUCAGGGGAGCAUAUGAUCUAGCUUAAACAAACCCUCGUAGCGUGUUUGUUGGUUAGGAUUGGGCCUUUCUAAUUAUUAAUGCAAUCUAGAAAUUAAAUCUUACGGUCGUACCUAGGGUUGUUUUUGGGUUAGAGAAAUAGCUAACGGUCGUACCUUAGCUAUCGAUAAAUUAAGGAAGGGUUGGUUGUUUAUCGCGUGCAUGACAACUAUAACCAAUCUAUUAAUAAAUGUUGGGAUUAUUUUUGCAUCAAUGAUCAGUGCAUGAACCAUUUCUGAAGUAUACCCUUGGCUAGAGUUUCUCUUAGUUAUUUCUUUUAAUUAAUUAUUUUCUGCAGUUAAUUUAUUUAGUUAGCAUUUAAUCCAAAACCCCCCAUACUUUGGACUCUAAAAGAAACAAUUACUCCCAGUCCCUGUGGAUUCGACCCUGCUCACCGCUAUCUACAGAAAUCACUUUUAGUUUGAGCAGGUAUUUAUUAUUGCACAGGCUUCGACGACCUGUCAAUCUUUGGCGCCGUUGCCGGGGACUGGUGCCAGAUUAAAUUGUUUCUUUUUGAGUUUAUCUUGUUUUCAUUUUUUUAAUUUAUUUUUCUCUUAUUUUUUAUUAUUAUUAUUAUUUUUUUUAUGGCUGCUAACAUUCCAUAUUUUGAUGAUAGACUGGAUUUUGUUCCUGAAUGGGGUUAUGAGACUCAUGUUUUUCCUAACGAUCAAUGGGCUGUUGCAAAUUGUGGAACUUAUUUUGACUCAAGUUAUUCAACUGACACAUGCCCCGUAUUUCAAGAUAAUUUAAGUUCUCCACUUGAUACUUUUGGAGAUUUUUCACCCCAAUAUCAAACGUGGUAUGACCCUUAUUCAAACGGGUAUGAUCAAGGAUGGUGGGAUAAUUCCAAUUUUGAUUAUGCGACCGGGCCAAUGGAUUUUCAACAGCAAGAGUCUCAGCAAUCAUCCUCCGUGUCAGGUAUGUCUCUUGAAGAAAUGAUAGGUUUACUAAUUGCUAAUUCAAAUCGAUUUCAUCAGGAGACACAAGCGAGCCUAAAUCGAUUUCAUCAGAGGACACAAGCGAGCUGUCGCGACCUGGCGGAUCAACUGCGUCAAUUGACAGCCAGGAUGCAGCGAUUAGAGGCUCACCUUGAAGAAUUGCCCUCGCAAACCAAUAUCAAUCUUGAGGAAGAUGAGAGUGCAAUUGUCCGGGCAAAUGACAUGGAACUGCAAGAGUUUCAAGAAAACGGAUUUAAAGAUGCAGUUGAAAAGGAAGCUGAAGUGCAAGAAAUGAGACUCCAAGAUCAACUCGUUCAAGUGAAUGAAUCCAGUGAACAAUCUCCAAAUGCGGUGACAUCUUCUCCACUCCUUAAUCAAUAUUUUCCUGGCUCCUAUUCUUCAACUCCUGUUACUGAAAUUGAUUUUAUUAUACCAGAAAAUUUAAAAUUUCAUGACAGGAAUAAGUUAAGAGUGGAGAUGGCAAAAUAUCUUGAACCAAUGAAUGCGUGUGAUGGAGGAGUGAGUGGAGAAUGCAGAUCAUUGUUGACUUGUUUAGCGCCAUUUACUAGUCCAUGGAAGCCCGUAACUCGUGUGCCCAAGAAUUACUCCAUCUAUGAGGGUUACCAGGAUCACGUUGAAGAUGAAGCAUUGAAGCGAGCCACAAGAUUUUAUCCUCCAUGAGCAAAACAUGAUAAUGUCUAGCCAAAGACAUUAAAGAAAGGCGCUCAUUGGGAGGCAACCCAAUUUCUUUUAGUUGUUUGUUUGAUUUUAUUUGUUAGUUUAAAUCUGUCUUCCUUGAAUUUGACUGAUUUUGGGUGUUAAUUUUCGUUUUUACUGAUUUGUAGGUGACCUUCAGUCAUGACGCGCCCGCGUGGUGACGUGCAGGAAGCUCACGAUCAGAAACUUCUGGGAGCUCUCUUACCCUCAUGACGUGCCCGCGUCAAGUCACCUGGAGAGUUCCAGAUUCCGUGCCUUCAUGGUGUGCCCACGUCACGUUCACGGGAGAGAUAAGUAUUUAAAAAAAAAAUUCAAAAACGAUUGUUGAUUGUUGGUUAUCUCUGCUUUUGAAUCUCGAAAAUAAAAUUUGCUAAUGAAAAUAAAUUUCAAAAAAAUAAAAAAAAAUUUUUUAAAAAAAAAAAUUUAAAUUUUUGUUUCACGGUAGCUUAGAUUUUCAAAUCCUAAAAAAAAAAAAAAACACAGAAACUCUUUCUUAUCAACGUAGCUUUAGUGUCAAAUAUUUUAAAAAAAAAAAAGUCUCAAAUGAAAAAAAAAAAGGGCUUUUCUUUUUCUUUCUUUUCUUUCUUUCUUCUUCUUUCUCUUUUCUGUCUUCCUUCUCCCCUGUUUCUUCUUCCUCUCUGUUGACCGAAGCCCUCUGUCCGCCGCCGCUGCUGAAGCGCCCUCAGCCGUCGCGCAGCAGCUCCUCACUCGAAGACGCCGCGGCCACAGCACCUCUGCACGCGGCCUCCACCUCUCCAUCGCGCGCCGUCAAGAGCUCCGCCGACCCACGACGCGCGAGGCACCAGCUCGCGCGCCUCCCCCACCUAGCAACUGCUGGCCGACCAGCCCCACCACCAGCCCGCGCCGCACCUGCUGGCCGACCUAUCAACUCCUAAGCUCGCGAACCUCCUCAGCUCAGCUCCACCAGCGAGCUGCUCCUCGCUCACUCCAUCGCGUGAAGACCAGGCGAGCACGGCCCGCAGCCUCUCACCGCCACUGCGCACCUCUGACCAGCUCGCAGCACCUCUCUCUGCCCUCCGUGCGCUGCCCGCGCGUGGCACCAGCGCCUCCACAGCUCGUCGACGAAGCCCAAGCUGACAGACCACGCCGCUCGUCCACUUCCACCACUCGCGACGCACAGAUCAGCGCUGCCGUUGGUUGCCCAACCUCCCUGGUGCCAGGUUUUUCUUACUAAUUUUGUGGUCUACGAUUCCAAUUUCUUGAUGAUGGGAUUUUUGAUGAUUACGAUUUCAUUGAGUAAAUUUGAUUGGCUUGCAUCUGUGUUACUGGAGCCCGUGGGUUGGGUUAUGACCUGCAACUGAUUUGCCUAGUCUAAUAUAAUUGUCAUUUGUUUGGGCUCUUGAAGUACUGUCUAGUGUUGUUUGUAUUUCUUAGUGAAUUGAGUUUGCCGUUUGAUUUCAUUCUUCCCUGUGCGUACACCAGUGGUACUGGUUGUGGUAGUUGCCUAACAUUUAUUCAUUCUCAUUGGUGUGGCUGUUGGGAUUGAAAGCUCAGAACUUGUGACUAAGUUGUUAUUGCCUAAAUGCUGACCUGCUAUUACUAGACUUGCUGAUUUCUUGGGAGCAUUUGUUGGGAUUUUGGGUGGAUAUUAGCAAGUGGUAUAUUGCUUGAUUUUUUUUACCUGUGCCUUGCUUGGAGUUUCUAGUGCAUGUUUGGGGCUGCCUUGGGAGUUAUUUGCCACAAUUGAUUGCCGUUUUGGUUUCUUCUGUUUCUGGUACUGCUUGUGCUGAUGGAUUUAUCAGUGUUUUGGGCGGCUUAUUUGAAUUGCUUCUUCCCUGUGUGUUUGGUCAGCUGUUUGCUUGAAAACCCAAACCCUUGUGCUUAUAUUUGCUCCCAGUUGAGUUAUGUGUUGGACUUUCCAAUUGGUGACAACUUUUGGGCUUUAGGGGUGAGUUCAUUUUGUCAUUAUUUGCUACCUUGUUGGGGUCAUUUUUGGUUUCACCUGAGUCUAUUGUCCUGCCUUCUGUUUUGAGUCCAUUGGAGUGACGUGAGUUGAGUAAUUUCUGCUUUUGUUUGUUGAUUUGGAAGGCUACUGUGCCACUUUCAUUGCUUAUUGCUUAGUGAUUAUGUCUAAUUAACAAUGUGCAUAGCAUGGCGCAGAAUUUGGCAGCAUUCAUGUAGCAUGCCGGUCUUAUACCUCAAUUGGGUACCUCUAUUUGGUUGGCUGCGUUCUUAUUGUCCAAUAUCUAUGCUGUUUUCAAUGGAAUUGCUGAUCUUGGGUUAAGACUUUAGCUGGCCAACUGGAGCCAUUUGUUGAGAUUUUGGGUGAACUGCAAUACUGCACUCGUUUGUUCAAUUGGGAGGUUUCUUUUGGUAUUCUGGUUGAGUUAUUUCUAAAGUUGCCUGAUGAAUUGAGAGACAUAGAUGGCUAUUGCUCUGCCCUGAUAUUGCUUGGUUGCCAGUGCGCAUUCUCUAUGCCAAGUGGCAAGGAUGUCUCAGAACUCGGCUUCCCUCCACUGUUCCCUCCUAUCCCUUAGCUGUUCAGCAGGGAAGUCUCGUUAUCCUCUUCGCUUUAAUUAUUUUAUUACCUCCAUUGAGGACAAUGUAGGAUUUAGGUGUGGGGGGAGCAGUUAUGGUGCUAGUGUCUUUCGUUCAUUUUCUUUUUCUUCUUUUUAGUGAUUGGCUCGUAAGUGCAUGCCAAGGUUUGAUGUUGGAUUAUUGCCUCUAUUUCUACUUUUGCCAAGUUUUAAUAAUAAAAGGGUAUCAAGUUAAUGUGGUUGAAUCCAAAAACAUCUCUUUGGUGAAUAUCAAUAAUUGUUUUACUCUUAUAAUUUUUUGGUUAACUUUCCUAGGCAUAGGGAAUGAUUAUUGGCAUUUUUAGUGAAUUGGUCCGGUUAUUAACCUUAGUUCUCCAUGUUUGAAAAUGAGGCUAGCUGAUGCAAGUUUUCUUUUGGUUCUUGUGUUAUAUUGAGUUUUUGUGAUUUUUAGCUCUGAAUAAACUUGACUGUACUCCGCUAUUAGUUACUACUGAGUAACCGGGGAUCUGCACCUAAAAGUGUUGAUUCUCGCGUCAAAAGAUAGUAGUUCCUAUGAGUACGUGGUCACGUGGCGAUAGAAGCUGAGUAACCGGGCUCCUUCAUCUGGCCAAUGUUGGAAUUCGCGUCAAAAGGCUCUAAUGGCUAGCGACUAAGUCUUUUGUUACUAUUGAAAAAAAACGAGAAAGAAGAAGAAGAAAAAAAAAAGAAAAAAAAGAGAAAAGUAGAAAAAUGUGAAAGAAAAAGUGAAUGCUGUGUUAGUGUAUAAUAAAAGUCAGCUUGCCGAUUUAUGGAUUUAAUGUUGAGAUUUUGGUUAAUAGUUGGACCAUUUGCUGAUAACUGUUAUGCGUCAUUCCUUUUUCUUAGAUUGGUUAACAUGAAAUUAGAGGAAUUUAUGGUUUAGAAGCUAACCGGAGUGAUGUUUCUUGGACUAGACCAUUGAUGCUUGAUUAUUAUAUUUUCUUGGUAUCUUGGCAAUAUGGUAGAUGGAGUAAUAGCCAUUGGCAAGUGUUGGUGUUUAUUUGCUGUUCUCAUGCUUGAGGACAAGCAUGGUUUAGGUGUGGGGGGAAUUGAUAGGUUGCAAUUUUAUCAUUUAUUUUAUUAUUAAUUUUCCCUAUUACUUAACCCAAUGUGAAUUAAUUAUUAGAUUCUACUCACUUUUAGUAUUUUACAUAUAUUUCAGGGAGUAGAACGAAAAUACCAUAAUAAGUGUCCGAUUUGACAGUUAUCAGGAAAGAGUUCAAGUAGCAGGCAUCCAGGGCAUUUUUGGAACAAGGAGAUACAAGUCCUUUUUGGUAAUUCGCAGAGCAGCAGCAUUAAAAGGAGGAACGAAGGGCUGAAGUAGGGUCUUCUUCCGCCUGGGAGGAACCGCCGCACAGCAGAGGGCUGUCUGGUCCUCUUAGUUUUUCCGUUUCUUUAGUUUUAGCUUAGGAUUUUGACUUUUCUUCUCGUAGGAAUUUUGGGUAGCCUUUAGCUUAGCAACUUUUGUUGACCCUUUUUUGGCCUUUUAGCUAGUUUGUUCUUACGCAUGGAAGAUGGCUGAAUAGCUGAGGCUUGUUCUUUGUUUUUCUUUGACUUUUCCUUUUGGUUUGCUUCCUGCGGACGCCCAGACCGAAGGAAAACUAUGAAGUCCCUUUUGUAGCUUUCUCUCUUUAUUAAAUAGACGAAUUGAAUUCCUUCAACUUGCGAAUUGAUGGCCGCAGCUUUUGCUUCAAUUUCUUGUGGGUUUAGUUCAUUAAUUAUGAACUAAUUCUACAAUUCUAGUCAAGGGGACAACUGACGAUUUGGUUCGACAAUUACUGUGAGAUCGAAUCUGUUUUAAUUAUUUUCUUCAUUUAUUGGUAUUUAUAUGUUCCUUGAUUUUAAUUGCUAUGGCCUUGUGUAUGAUUGAUUAGUGCGCAAUAAUUAAUUAUUCAUAUAGGCUAUUUUUUGCUAAAUAGGGGUAAUUGAACCCGUAAUUGUUCGUUAUCUCUACCUCAGUAGCAACUGGCGUAAUUGGGUUUAUGUCAGGGGAGCAUAUGAUCUAGCUUAAACAAACCCUCGUAGCGUGUUUGUUGGUUAGGAUUGGGCCUUUCUAAUUAUUAAUGCAAUCUAGAAAUUAAAUCUUACGGUCGUACCUAGGGUUGUUUUUGGGUUAGAGAAAUAGCUAACGGUCGUACCUUAGCUAUCGAUAAAUUAAGGAAGGGUUGGUUGUUUAUCGCGUGCAGGACAACUAUAACCAAUCUAUUAAUAAAUGUUGGGAUUAUUUUUGCAUCAAUGAUCAGUGCAUGAACCAUUUCUGAAGUAUACCCUUGGCUAGAGUUUCUCUUAGUUAUUUCUUUUAAUUAAUUAUUUUCUGCAGUUAAUUUAUUUAGUUAGCAUUUAAUCCAAAACCCCCCAUACUUUGGACUCUAAAAGAAACAAUUACUCCCAGUCCCUGUGGAUUCGACCCUGCUCACCGCUAUCUACAGAAUUAAUUUUAGUUUGAGCAGGUUUUAUUAUUGUACAGGCUUCGACAACCUGUCAUUGAGCAUUUGAAAAGUGAAAUUUUUGUCCACCAAACUGCUUAUACCCGGAAGGUAUUAAAGUAGUUUUAUAUGGAUAAGGCAUAUACAUUAAGUACCCCAAUGGUCAGAUCAUUAGAUCCUAAUAAGGACCCUUUUAGACCGCGAGAGGAAGUUGAAGAGAUACUUGGUCCUAAAGUACCAUAUCUCAGUGCAAUUAGUGCACUAAUGUAUCUUGCUAAUUGUACAAGACCUGAUAUAUCAUUUGCAAUAAAUUUAUUAGCAAGAUUUAGUUCUCGCUCACAAGACGACAUUGGAAUAGUAUUAAACAUAUUUUUUGUUAUCUCCAAGGAUCAAUUGAUCUUGGCUUAUUUUAUUCAAAUAAAUCUAAACUUGAAUUGUUUGGUUAUGUUGAUGCUGGAUAUUUAUUUGGCCCACAUAAAGUAAGAUCUCAGACUGGUUAUCUAUUUACAUAUGGAGGUACAACCAUUUCUUGGCGAUCUACAAAGCAAUCAUUAGCUGCCAUUUCAUCGAAUCAUGCUGAAAUAAUAGCAAUUCAUGAAAUUAGUUGAGAAUGUGUUUGGUUAAAAUCAAUGACCCACUAUAUCCGGAAAAGUUGUGGGUUAUCCUCCGAAAAAGAAAAUCCUUCAACUAUAUUAUAUAAAGAUAAUGCAGCUUGUAUAACUCAAUUGAAAGGAUGAUAUAUUAAAAGAGAUAGAACGAAAUAUAUUUCACCAAAAUUCUUUUUUACUCAUGAUUUACAAAAGAAUGGUGAAAUUGAUGUGCAACAAAUCUGAUCAGAUAAUAAUUUGACAGAUUUAUUUACCAAUGCAUUGCCAACUGCAAUAUUUAAGAAAUUGGUGAAGAAUAUUGGAAUGCGACGACUAUAAGAUCUCAAAUGAUAUUUGCAUCCGGGGGAACAAUCAAUACACAAGAAUAGUGUACUCUUUUUCCUUCAUUAAGGUUUUUAUCCCGUUGGAUUUUUUCCUAGUAAGGUUUUAAUGAGACACAUUCUUUGUGUAAUGGACAUCCAAUGGGGAGUGUUAUGAAACAACUAAAAAUGUGGAUGCCCAUUUGUAUUCUCAAGAAGAUCAAUUCAUAAUUCAUUGCUUCCAAAAGGAUUAAUUCAUAAUUCAUUGCUACAUUAUAUAAAGGAAUUACAUUGGAUGAACGGUUUCAAUCCAUAAGAGCUAUUCAUGUAUUGGAUGAACCAUUUCAUAUGGUUAUUUAUGUUCUUGUAGUAAUGAGUGUUUAAUAGAAUUGAUGUACCUUUAAUUUUGUAGUACCUAUAUAUAGAGGUACCUUGGCACCUCUUGGAUGUACUUUUUGAUUAGUUGGAAUAAUAAAAAAAUCAUUCUCCAUUUCUGUACUUUUUUUUCUAAUAUUUUAAUUCCUAUUAUAGUAGUUCAUUUUUUUUUUAGUUUUACAACAUUACUCAAAGAAGAGGGUUAUUGGACUAUAUGUUUAUUGACCUCUACUAGGGAUGACAAUGGGGGCGGGUGACGGCAAUGGGGGCGGGUGACCGCGGGCACCCGUCCCGCGGGGGGCUAAUGGGGAGAGGGAUGGGGCCGGGGCGGGGGGUAGGGGAGUGUACCCCCGCCCCAUCCCCCGUCCCGCUACCCGCUUUAAAAAAAUAAAUAUAUAAAAUAUAUAUAGGUAUAUAAUUAUAUAUAUAAUAUAUAAUUUAAUUGGUUACAAACUUAUGAUAAUAAUAUUAUUAGUUAUAUGUAUUAUAUGAUGUCUAUUAGUAUAAAUAAUAUAAUUGAUAUUAUUAAUUAUACUAAUAAUUAUAUAUGUGUACUCAUACAAAUUAUUAAUUGGUUAUACUAAAUUUACUAAUACAUUUAUACUAAAUCCCUAAUUACACUUAAUACAAUAACAUUAUUUUCAUAAAAAAAACACAACCACAAUAAUGAAUUAGUGAUUGUAUUUGUACCAAAAGUGAAAAUUUGAUUACUUUAGUUAUAUUUUUUUCAUCAUGUUGGAUUGUAUUCAAAUAAUUUUUGUUUGAUUGUUUUUAUAAGUUUCAAUUGUAAAAUUGCAAUGAAUAAUAAUUUGAUGAUGUGUUGAUAUUUUAGUACUUGAUUAUUUGCUAAAAUUUAAUCAUAAUAAAAUUAUAUAACAAAUUUUUAUUAGCUCAGCGGGAGCACCCGCCGGAGAAGCGGGGCAGGGUGGGGACGGGGCGAGGGAAGCGGGGGAUGGGGGAGGGGUCCCCCGCCCCAACCCUCUUCCCCAUCUCCCGCCCCGUUGCCAUCCCUAACCUCUACUAACUUAUUUAAGGUCAUUUUAUAUCACUAUCCAAAGAAGAAUUAAGGUCAUUUUAUAUCACUAUCCAAAGAACAAUUCUUGGGCGUUAACAUUUUUCUUACAUGCCAAGACUAUUAAUGAAAGUUGACCCAAAUCUCUCUCUCUCUUUCUCUCAAUUCUUAGGACUGAUGCCAAUUCUUACCAUUUAGAAAGAAAAAUUAGAUUGUUUAUAUAUAUGAUGAGUUCCCUCUAAGUCAUGGUUAAGAAAAAUUCUUAGUUAGACGCAGUUUUAUGAAAUGUGAAUUUCCUUUUCUUUGUCUUUAUUCGUUAGUAUUAUUGGGGUUAUUGUAUUAUGAUUGCAAUGCACAGAUACAUGGAUUUUUGACAUUUUUUUCUCAUUUUUUCUUUUUAAUUGACUCUGACUAUGUCUCAAACUCGAGACAUCAAACCUGGAGAAGACUUUUGUCCAAAAUGCUUGUAAAAAUUCAGAAGAAUAAUGUUGGACCUUAUUAUUUAAUAAUGGUGCAAUUAUGAGAGUCAUUCCUGGUUUAAUUAUCAACAUCAUGUCAUUAUUAUUUUUUUGUUUCAUAGAAAAAUAAAGUAUUCUCCGACUCGACAUUAUCAUAUUAUUUUCAAUUGGCAGCUUUAAGUGAGAAAGGCCGGUGAAAAUUUUGGGCAUUACUAGUUUAUUUAGGCCUCACGCGCUCCGUGAAGGUGCCGACGUCAUCUUCGUUUUAAUGGAAAAAUUUGAGCGCGCUUUGAUCAUAAGGAAUUCACAAUCAUCGGGCCAACAAAGAAAGCACUAAAUGGUUAAAACAAACCAUGCAAAUUUGCUCAGCACUUAAACAAUAGACUCCUAAACCGACCAUUUUACUGUCUUGCCAAAAAAGGGCAUUAAAGUAAAAACAACCCAUGCCUAACACAACUAACAAACUUCAGCACCUUCACUUCACUGCCACGUCAUCAACAACAUCUGUAAAUUUCCAAGGAAGUCCACGCACUAAAGGUGCCAUGGGGGACCUCAGGUUAGUGUUCUUAACAUCAACUCCUGUCUUUAUAUUCUUAGGAAAUAUUGAAAUUAAACAUUAUAACUAAUCCUGAUUUCCUUAUGCUGUAUUUGUACACAAUUUGGCAACUUGAUAAAAAGUUUGUUCCAAUUUAUUCCAAUUUAAUUUGUCAGCUAGUCGAAUCUAAUUUGAAUAGUAUUUAACUUUGAAAUUUGAUAAAAAGUUUGUUCAAACUUGGUUUACUAAAUAAACAAGUUAAGUUUGAACAAAAUUUCAAACUUAUUAAAAUAAUUAAAUACGUUUGAAUACUAGGGUAUUCAAUUUAAUUAGACUCGUUUGCACCCAUAAUUAAAGCAUGCACUUUUUUAUAAAUUUAGGAAUCAACAUUAUCUAUUUGAUAGCUAGCUAAUGGCCCAAAAAGUUAAUUGCCUUAAAUUCUUUUAGCAGCCAUAAAGUAUAGUUGGAGGGAUUCCCUUGAAAUUGAUUAGAUUCUUCUAUGUGACUGUGACGUAUUACUAGUCCUACCCAAAAAAAAAUGGUAUUACUAGUCCUUUUUUCUUUUUGUGGCGUGCCACCGCCGUAGGGGGCGGGGAGGGCAGUCAGUGCGAGAAUUCUAGAUGGGGUAGAAGUAGCCAAAGUUCACCUUAUUCAAAGUAAACAACCGACAAUCUCAGUUGUCGACUUUCCUGUCGAUUGCGUAUAUAUUACUAUCUUUUACCAUGACUUUAGAGGAUACCUAAUUUUGCUUGCUAUUAAAUAAUAAUUCCUGGCACCACAUAAUUCUUUCAAGAACUACCAAAACCUUCUUGAAAUCCCUCUUUUUCCUUUUAGUUCAUUUCCAAGAAACAAAUUGAACCAUCAUGGCCCCUGUCACUUCCAGUUAUGAGGUCACCUCCUCAAUCCCUCCUGCAAGGUUGUUCAAGGCCACCAUCCUUGAAGAGAAGCAUCUUCACAAGAUCUUGCCACAGGGCGUUAAGAGUGUCGAAAUCCUUGAAGGAGAUGGUGGAGUUGGCACAAUUAAGUUGACCACAUUUGUUGAAGGUAAGAUAUCAAUACAAAGUGAUUAUUUUCACACAUUUGAAGUCCUCAAAAUGUUCUUUUUUUUUUUUAACAUUUUAUUUGUGGGGGUAAGUAUGUAUGUAAGCCCUAAUAACCUUUUUUUUUUUGUUGGGUUAAAUAUUUAGGUGGCGAGCUUAAGACUGCCAAACAGAGAGUUGAUGGAAUUGACAAAGAAAAAUUUACAUACAGUUAUACUGUACUUGAAGCUGAUGGAUUUAACGAUGUAAUCGAGAAAAUCUGUUGUGUCAUCAAAUUUGAACCCUCUGCUGAUGGAGGUUCAAUCUGCAAAACCACUAAUACAUACUACCCCAAAGGUGGUGCUCAGAUCAGUGAGGAACACCUCAAGGGAGGAAAAGAGAAGGGUUUGGGAAUGGUUAAGGCUGUUGAGGCUUACCUCCACGCAAAUCCUACUGCCUACAACUAAUUAAAAUGAAUGCUACUGAAGGACUCUUCGACAUAUUUUCUUCAAGAUUGAAGUAUAAACUGAGGGUGUCUGUUUCCUUUUUUGCUUGGUUUGCUUAAGCUGUUUGGUUAAGUUAUUCGCAGCAAGAGAAUAAAAUAAUUCACUUGCUGUUUUUAGAUAUGAAUUCAUGACUGUCAGUAGUCUAUAAAUACACUUAUUGCUCACCGCUCUUUGCACCGCAAAAUCUUUUCAAGAUCCAUCAAACCCUCCUGUUCUUGAUCUUUCUCCAUUUGUGAAAAAACAAAUUAAAGCAUCAUGGCCCCGAUCACUUGUAGUGCUGAGAUGACCUCCCCAAUGCCUCCUGCAAGGUUGUUCGAGGCCGCCAUCCUUGAUGACCACCUUCUUCCCAAGAUCAUGCCACAGGCUAUUAAGAGUGUGGAAAUCCUUGAAGGAGAUGGUGGAGUUUGAACCAUUAAUUUGAGCACAUUUGGUGAAGGUUAGAUGUUAUAUUAAAUGUAGAACCCCAAAUUUAAGGAUCGAAUAAUAAUCAACGCAUGUGGGGUUAUAGAAUUGAAGGGAUAAAACAAAUACUCAAAAUAUACGUGAAAGAAAAGAAAAUAAUAAAUUCAACUUACAAUAUUAUUAAAUUUUCAAACAAUGGAAAAAAUCAUACCACAAUAAAUUCAGCUGGUUCUAAUAAUAAUCAAAGCAUACAAGGUUACAGAAUUAAAAGGAUAAAACAAACGCUCAAAAUAUAUGUGGGAGAGAAGAAAAUAAUCAAUUCAACACACAAUAUUAUUGAAAUCUCAAACAAUGAAAAAAGUCACACCAUAAUAGAAAACCUUGCUUAUUCUUCUAGAUUCUUUCUCUUGAGAGACCAACCUAAAUAAUGUCCUAUUUAUAAUCUACCAAACUUGUUAAGAAAGAAACCACUUGCAUAAGAAAUUACGAAAUAAAUUAGAAAUUCCUAAAUCACACAACUACUAAAAACAUAACUCAAAUAAAACUAAAAAAUAAAUAAAUAUUUCUAGGCUUAGUUUAAUUUGUCAACAUUGCCUCCCUUAAACCAAAUUAUUCAUUGAGAUAGGUUCAACACCAUCUCGAGCAAUAAUUUCUAUGCAAAUCUAUGUUGUAGUACAUUUGACAUGAAACUCUAACUUGUUACCAGUUAUUAAUUUCAUUUUUACACGUAACAAUGGACGCACUAUAUAUUUUGUAAAAAAUUUCUCAGCAAUUUCUUCUUGAUCAAAGUACUCAUUUAUACAAACCCAUUCGUCACCAGAAUCACCAUAUUUACCACCAAUGUAAGUGCCUAAAAUUAAAAAAUCAUAGGUUGCUUUCUCGCUAAAGUUAUCAUCACCAAAUAAUUCAAAAUAACCACUACUACAAUUAUCCAAAAUUUUCAUACUGUCAGUCAACUCUUUUGGAGUAAAAUAUUUUUCAACUCCGAUGACAUCCAUAUCUAUCAAAUCAAACAUUCUCCCAUCACUUUGAAGAGAGUCCGAACCAACAAAUUUUUCAACAACAAUUUCAUGUUCUCUUCUUUUAUCAAAUCAAAAUUUUCUUCUUCUUUUGUCAAAUUACCAUAUUAUUUUUUUCAACAAAUUCAUUACUUCUAAUUUCUCCAAACAAGGUAUGCAAAUCAAAACUAUCAAUUGAUUCAAAAUUUUCGAUAUCACCCAUAUUAUGAACAAAUCUAUCAUUUUUAAAAUCCACAAACCAAUACCAACAACUAGACUUCAGUUUGAAAGCAUAAUUUCUCUCAAUCAUGUGCAAAACAUAGUAAAUAUCCUUCCAAAAUCUCUAAAGUAUUUUAGUAUGACCAAUAAAGGUUCUAUAAAUACUUUCUGCCAUUAUUUUACGCAUCACUUGAAAGAAUAAUUGUGCCUUUUUCUUAAAAACAUGUUUUGACAACUUACUUGCAUCAACCCAACAAAGAAUAUCAUCCAAAUUGCAUUGCUUGACAUAUUUUUCCACUGUUAAAAUCCAAUUAAAAUAUGUAUGUCUAUUUGUGCUUAUAGGAGUCAAUAUGAAAAAUUUUUCACCGUCAAUUAGAUCUUUAUAAUAUUCCAUUAUUUAACAAUUUCUAUACCUGAAUAAAUUUUUUUCCUCCAUCCUGUCAUGUUUUCUUGGCCUCCCUGGUUGACUAACCAAAUUAUUGUUGUAUGUAUACCCAUGCUCGUCAAACCUCAUUCGUGUACACUCGUAAGGAGUGGUUCUGAGCUUAUUGUGAAUGCUUAGUACCAAGAAGUAGAAGAGAGAAUGCAUAAGAGAGAAUUAACUUGGCUAAAGAAUUAGGAAACAAUUGAGGGAUUUUUUAAGAAAUUAAUUCUCCAACCGCCACUUUUGGAUCUUUUCUAUCUACAACUAGUUACCAAAACACUAGCACAUAGUAAGAAAUCGGGAUAAUUUCAGAAACCUCCCUUGAGGCUUUUAAUAAUCUCAAGAAGCUCCCCUCAAUAUUUUAAAAUUACACGUACCUUCCCUAUUGGAGCAAAAGUACUCUACUACCCCUAAUAGGAUACUCAAAAGACUUUUUUUAUGGGAAAAAAGAACCUCAGAAAUCCAAGCGAAAGCAAAAAAAUCAAUUUAUUUUCUCUUUUAGCCUUUAACGCUUUUGCCUUCUACCUUUGCUCACUUUCCCAUGCCAAUCUUCCUAUAACCACUUUCCCAAUCCCCUUUCCCCAACUUUUCUCCUCUACUUCAAGACUAAUUUUUGUCCAUCAAUCCUGGCUUGUGCUUUGUUCCAUUCCCUUCCCUUCUCCUUCUUUGAUUUCCCCUACAUCGCCCUUUCUCUUUGCAAAAGUGACUAGGCUCAUCUCUCUCUUUUUUCCCCUUAUUCUAAGUGUAGUGGGUUUGAUUAUUUUGCAUCUAUUUUAUUUGGUUUUGGUUGAUUAUGGGUGAUAAAACUUGGUGAUGUCAAAUAUCAAAAGUUUGAUAGAUGGAUAUUGGGCUUUAGACAAUGAUUUGCUAGAAAAAAAUGGCUGCAAUGAGAGGAAAAGGCAAGGGGAUUUGAAUGUGGGGUUGAUUGUUGAUGAAUUGUUGUUUUGGACAAAAUUUGAGGUUGAGUUUUGUCAAAUUUGGUAGCAAGUGGCGAGAUUUGUUCAGGUUUCGGGAAAUAAAUUGGAUUGUGGUUUCUUGGGCACCCACAGUUGUUGGAAUUGGUUUUGAUUCAAAUAAAGGUGGUUACUUGAUUUUCCUAAUAGUGUUGCUUAAGAGCACACGAUCAUCAAAAUUCCUUAUUUUUAUCUUUUUUUUUUUGUAGAAAAGAUUUCAUGACUUUCGUGAUAGUCUAAUUUGGAAGAAGGCAAUCAAGGGAUGCAAUCAACAUUUAGCAAAAGCUCUUGUUCUUUUCUUUCUAUUUUUUAGGGUAAAAAGGGUAGUUUAGGGUAUUUGAAGGAAAUGAUAGUCUAUUGGGUCUAUUUUGAAGCAUAAAUAGUGAACGUAAGGGAGGUUGGUGUAAUUUCUGAAACCUAAGGGGAAUUGUCUAAAUUGUCCGAGACCUCAGAGAAGGUUUUCGAAAUUAUCCCUAAGAAAUCAAAUGCGAAACUUGAUUAGUACACACACACACGACACUGCACCACGGCACGCGUGUGUUGAGAACUGAUGUCCGUAACCAACGACAAGCAGGUUUUCAAUUUUUUUUUCCUUUCCUGGAUUCUCCAGAGAUGGUGUCAGCUUCUAUUAUUGAUGAGCAGGAGGAAAUCCACAAUAUACAGUACACAUCACCCAUAUUCUUUUUAAUUGAACAAUGUAUGAAAUUAUGGUGAUUCGAAAUUAAAUUAUAUGUUUAUUGGGCAACGAAUCCAAAAUAAGAAUUGGAAAUGUAUUGUGGCAACAAUUGUUAACUUAGGCUACAAAUGAUCAAAAUAAAUAUUUAAGAUUUAAUAUGACAUUAUGGGUUCAAAAUAUAGUUACUUGUUAUGAAACAACUAAAAGUGUGGAUGUCCAUUUGUAUUCUCAAGAGGAUCAAUUCAUAAUUCAUUGCUCCCAAGAGGAUUAAUUCAUAAUUCAUUGCUACAUUAUGUGAAGGAAUUACAUUAGAUGAACGGUUUCAAUCCAUAAGAGCUAUUCAUGUAUUGGAUGAACCGUUUCACAUGGCUAUUCAUGUUCUUGUAGUAAUAAGUAUUUAAUAGAAUUGAUGUAUGUUUAAUUUUGUAGUACCUAUAUAUAGAGGUACCUUGGCACCUCUUGGCUGUCCUUUUUGAUUAAUUUGAAUAAUAAGAAAAUCAUUCUCUAUUUCUAUACUUCUUUCUCUAAUAUUUCAAUUCUUAUUAUAGUAGUUCAUUAUUUUUUUAGUUUUACAACACGUUAUCAGCACGAGUCUCUAUUUUUGAAUAAAAAACUGAAAAUGGAGCCUAUACCUUAAAAAAAGCAAAAAAUGUGAUUCUGCUGAAAUUCUGCAUGUAUUUUUCCGGCAACUUCUAUCUACUUAUUGAGAAAUGGAUGCCAAAUAUUUGGGAUUAAAUAAUGGUGAUGAUGACAUUUGUCUCAUUGAUUGUACUACUACGCACACUAUAUUGAAAAAAAAAAUUCUUGUAUGAAAAUGGGAGAGACAAAUGUUAAUACCAUAAGUGGUAGUGCAAAAUUGAUUGAAAGUUCUGGAAGAGCCACUCUAUUUCUUCCUGAAAGGACUAAAAUUGUCGUAAAUAAUGCACUACUAUCUCUCAAGUCUUGAAGAAAUUUAUUCAGUUUUAAAGAUAUCUGCGAAAAAUGGAUAUCAUAUCGGGACAAUAAAUGAGACAAAUGGAGAAUUUUUAUUAAUCACAAAUAUCAUUUCUGAGCAGAAAUACGUAGUAGAAAAAUUACCUUCUUUUUCUUCUGGCUUAUAUUAUGCACAAAUUAGUGCAAUUGAAAUUUAUCACCUAGGAGACCAGAAUUCUACUCAUCCCAAUAAUUUUAUGAUUUGGUAUGAUUGUCUCGAAAAUCCUAGAUAUAUAAUGAUGAGGCAAAUAAUUGAGAAUUCACAUGGUCACUCAUUGAAAAAUCAAAAGAUAUUAAAAGCAAAUAAAUUCUCUUGUGUUGCUUGUUCCCACGGAAAAUUAAUUAUUAGACCAUCACCAGUAAAAGUUGGGACUGAAUCCUCUACAUUUCUAGAACGAAUUCAUGAUGAUAUAUGUGGACUUGUAGAUCCACCAUGUGGACCAUUUCGAUAUUUUAUGGUGCUAAUUAAUGCAUUAACUAGAUGAUCACAUGUAUGUUUAUUAUCUACUCGCAACUUGGCGUUUGCGAGAUUGUUUGCUCAAAUAAUUAAAUUGCGAGCACAAUUUUCAAACUAUCCAAUAAAGAAAAUUCAUCUAGAUAAUGCUGGUGAAUAUUCGUCACAUGCUUUUGACGAUUAUUGCAUGUCCAUUGGAAUAACUGUUGAACAUCCUGUAACUUAUGUUCACAUUCAAAAUGGUUUAGCCGAAUCAUUUAUUAAAUGGCUAUAAUUAAUUACUAGACCAUUGUUGAUGAGAUCUAAACUUCCUUCAUUUGCUUGGGAACAUGCUAUAUUACAUGUAGCAAUACUUGUGAGAAUUAGAUCGACAAGUUAUCAUACUUAUUUUCCCCUAUAAUUAACUUUUGUUUUUGAGUCCAAUAUUUCUCAUUUACGAAUAUUUGGUUGUUCGAUUUAUGUUCUAAUUAUACCGUCCCAACAUCGUAAAUUAGACCCGCAAAGAAGAUUGGGGAUAUAUGUUGAGUAUGAAUCACCUUUAAUUAUUAAGUAUAUGGAACCAUUGACAGGUGAUUUAUUUACUGCGAGAUUUGCAGAUUGUCAUUUUGAUGAAUCACAUUUUUCGACAUUAGGGGGAGAUAAAAAUCAACCGAAAAAGAAAAUCACUUGAAAAAUAUCUUUGAAUUUCCUCGAUUCUCAUACCAAAGAAUGUGAACUAGAAGUUCAAAAGAUUAUACAUUUGCAAAAAAUUACAAAUCAAUUACCGGACGCAUUUAAUGACUCCAGAAAAGUUACUAAAUCACAUAUUCCUAUUGCAAAUGCUCCGAUUAAAUUAAUGUCUUUGAAGGACAAAUUACAAAUGUUAACGAGUCUAAAGCGUACCUAAAGCGUGGAAGACCUCUUGGUUCCAAAGAUAAAAAUUCUCGAAAGAAAAGAGGAGUAGAUGAAUCAACAAUUAGUGACAAAAUUCAACUUCCUGAAGAGGUCGCUCCUAAAGAGCCAAUUCUUGAAGAGAAUGAAAUUAUAGAAAAUUCAUUAAAUUUUGUCAUUUCAGGAAAAAGUUAGAAUCGAAAAGAAAUAAUUAUUGAUAGUAUUUUUGCAUAUAAUAUACCACUUGAUAUUAUGGUAGAGAAUAAGGAUCACGAGCCUAGAUAGGUUGAUGAAUGUCGACGUAGAAAUAAUUGGGCAAAAUGGAAAGAUGUGAUCCAAUCUGAAUUGAACUCACUGGUUAAAAGAAAAGUUUUUGGACCUGUAGUCCAAACACCUGAAGGUGUAAAGCCAGUAGGAUAUAAAUGGAUAUUUGUGAAAAAAAAAAUGAGAAAAAUGAAAUCGUGAGGUAUAAAGCAAGACUUCUAGCCCAAGAAUUUUCACAAAGGCUUGGAUUUGAUUAUGAUUACACGUAUUCACCUGUAGUGGAUGCUAUCACAUUUAGAUAUCUUGUGAGUUUUGCAGUACAUGAAAAAUCAGAUAUGCAUCUAAUGGACGUCGUUACUGCAUAUUUAUAUGAAAAUCUUGAUAAUGAUAUUUAUAUGAGAAUCCCCGAAGGAUUCAACAUGCCUGAAGCAUACAAAUCAAAUCCUAAAGAUAUUUAUUCUAUUAAAUUACAAAGAUUUUUGUAUGGGCUUAAACAAUCUGGACGUAUGUGGUACUGCCUCAAUGAAUGUUUAACUAAAGAAGGCCAUACCAAUGAUCCAAUAUAUCCAUGUGUCUUUAUCAAGAAAAAUGGAUCAAAUUUUGUGAUAAUUGUUAUAUAUGUUGAUGAUUUAAAUCUGAUUGAAACUCUUGAAGAGAUUAGUGUUGAAUAUUUGAAGAAGAAAUUUGAGAUCAAAGAUUUUGGAAAAACAAAAUUCUGCCUUAGUUUACAAAUUAAGCAUUUGAAAAGUGAAAUUUUUGUCCACUAAACUGCUUAUACCCCGGAAGGUAUUAUAGCAGUUUUAUAUGGAUAAGGCACAUACAUUAAGUACCCCAAUGGUCAGAUCAUUAGAUCCUAAUAAGGAUCCUUUUAGACUGCGAGAGGAAGAUGAAGAGAUACUUGGUCCUAAAGUACCAUAUCCCAAUACAAUUGGUGCACUAAUAUAUCUUACUAAUUGUAGAAGACCUGAUAUAUCAUUUGCAAUAAAUUUAUUAGCAAGAUUUAGUUCCUCGCCCACAAGACGACAUUAGAAUGGUAUUAAACAUAUUUUUCGUUAUCUCCAAGGAACAAUUGAUCUUGGUUUAUUUUAUUCAAAUAAAUCUAAGCUUGAAUUGCAUGAUUAUGCUAAUGCUGGAUAUUUAUCUGACCGGUAUAAAGCAAGAUCUCAGACUGGUUAUCUAUUUAUACAUGGAGGUACAGCCAUUUCUUUGCGAUCUACAAAGCAAUCGUUAGCCGCCACUUCAUCGAAUCAUGCUGAAAUAAUAGCAAUUCAUGAGGCUAGUCGAGAAUGUGUUUGGUUAAGAUCAAUGACCCACUAUAUCCGUAAGAGUUGUGGGUUAUCCUCCGAAAAAGAAAAUCCUCCAACUAUAUUAUAUGAAGAUAAUGUAGCUUAUAUAACUUAAUUGAAAGGAGAAUAUAUUAAAGGAGAUAGAACAAAACAUAUUUCACAAAAAUUCUUUUGUACUCAUGAUUUACAAAAGAAUGGUGAAAUUUAUGUGCAACAAAUCCGAUCAGAUAAUAAUUUGACAGAUUUAUUUACCAAUGCAUUGCCAACUGUAAUAUUUGAGAAAUUGAUGAAGAAUAUUGGAAUGCGACAAUUAUAAGAUCUCAAAUGAUAUUUGCAUCAGGGGAAGAAAUCAAUACACAAAAAUAGUGUACUAUUUUUCCAUCACUAGGGUUUUCGUCCCAUUGGAUUUUUUCCUAAUAAGGUUUUAAUGAGGCAUAUUCUUUAUGUAAUGGACAUCCAAUGGGGAGUGUUAUGAAACAACUAAAAGUGUGGAUGCCCAUUUGUAUUCUCAAGAAGAUCAAUUCAUAAUUCAUUGCUCCCAAGACGAUUAAUUCAUAAUUCAUUGCUACAUUAUGUAAAGGAAUUACAUUGGAUGAACGGUUUCAAUCCAUAAGAGUUAUUCAUGUAUUGGAUGAACCAUUUCAUAUGGCUAUUUAUGUUCUUGUAGUAAUGAGUGUUUAAUAGAAUUGAUGUACGUUUAAUUUUGUAGUACCUAUAUAUAGAGGUAUCUUGGCACCUCUUUAGUGUACUUUUUGAUUAGUUGGAAUAAUAAAAAAAUCAUUCUCCAUUUCUGUACUACUUUCUCUAAUAUUUCAAUUCCAAUUAUAGCAGUUCAUUUUUUUUUUUGGGUUUACAACAUUACUCAAAGAAGAGAGUUAUUGGACUAUAUGUUUAUUGACCUCUACUAACUUAUUUAAGGUCAUUUCAUAUCACUAUCCAAAGAAAAAUUCUUGGGCGUUAACAUUUUUCUUACAUGCCAAGACUAUUAAUGAAAGUUGACCCAAAUCUCUCUCUCUCUUUCUCUCAAUUCUUAGGACUGAUGCCAAUUCUUACCAUUUAGAAAGAAAAAUUAGAUUGUUUAUAUAUAUGAUGAGUUCCCUCUAAGUCAUGGUUAAGAAAAAUUCUUAGUUUUAUGAAAUGUGAAUUUCCUUUUCGUUGUCUUUAUUCAUUAGUAUUAUUGGGGUUAUUGUAUUAUGAUUGCAAUGCACAGAUACAUGGAUUUUUGACAUUUUUUUUCUCAUUUUUUCUUUUUAAUCGACUCUGACUAUGUCUCAAACUCGAGACAUCAAACCUGGACACGACUUUUGUCCAAAAUGCUUGUAAAAAAUCAGAAGAAUAAUUUUGGACCUUAUUAUUUAAUAAUGGUACGAUUAUGAGAGUCAUUCCAGGUUAAUUAUCAAACUUGUAACUUGAAAAUAAUGUCGACAUCAUGUCAUUAUUAUUUUCUAGUUUCAUAGAAAAAUGAAGUAUUCUCCAACUCGACAUUAUCAUAUUAUUCUCAAUUGGCAGCUCAUGUGAGAAAGACAAGAAAUUCACAAUCAACUGGCCAAGAGAGUGCCAACAAAGAAAGCACUAAAUGGCUUAAACAAAGCAUGCAAAUUUGCUUAGCACUUAAACAAUAGACACCUAAAUCAACCAUGUCACUGUCUUGCCAAAAAAGGGCAUUAAAGUAAAAACAACUCAUGCCUAACACAGGUAACAAACUUCAGCACCUUCACUUCACCGCCACGUCAUCAACAACAUUUGCAAAUUUCCAAGGAAGUCCACGCACUAAAGGUGCCCAUGCCCUUAGGGGACCUCAGGUUAGUGUUCUUAACAUCAACUCCUGUCUUUAUAUUCUUAGGAAAUAUUGAAAUUAAACAUUAUCACUAAUCCUGAUUUCCUUAUGCUAUAUUUGUACACAAUUUGGCAACAAGGUUGUCCUUUUUUGGGCCAAAUUGGACAAGUAAAAAAAAGAAAAUUAAAAGGUUUAUCUGCAAACUGUAGUUCGGCCUGCCUCUUUUUUUUUUUUUUUUGGGGAUAAGAUCGUCAUGUAUCAAUAUUUCUGUACUUAGCAUUGGCUUCUUCUCGCCUGAAGAACACACGAACCACCGGAUGAAAGUGGUGAAUGAAAGUGCACUUAACCCUUUUAAUUUUUCAAAACAAUGCUUUUAGAAAAAAUAAUAAAGACUUUUUUGAAUUUAAUUUUAGAGAAGAAGAAUUUUAAACUUUUUUGAAUUUAAUCUUACAGAAGAAGAAGUUUAAAAUGUACUUUAAUUUUCACAACUGAUGAUGAGAAUAGCAAAAUGUAUACGGACGGUGACAAAAGUGCCGUCUUAUCCUUUUGCUGACGGCCCGUUUUCCAAUGAGAGGAUGCCUCUGCUUCGUAUUUUAUCCAUAUUGAUAUAUAUUCUUUUCUGUCCCCCUAACUAUUAAAUGUGAAAGGUUGCCCACCAAAUUUGACGAAACCGUUUAUCCUAAUUGAUUAUUAUCCAUAGGGCAUAACUUUAAUAUUCUUCUUCCAACCCGUCCGUCAAUGACCACUAACCACCUCUAAUCUAUUCUCAAAUUUUAAUGAAAUUGCGCAAUUAGUUUUCAUUUCUCACUUUUAUUUCAAAUUUGGUCUCAAUUUAAUGUGAAUCCCAAUAAAUAAGACCGGAGUUGAAAUCAAAGAACGUAUUUCAAUCACCAUCGGAUAAAUUCUUCAUGUCUAGUUUUGUCCUUGAGAUGCAUAGAAAAUGUAAGCUGAUCUUGCAGUCUACGAGAAAAACGAAGUCUAAGAGAAUAAUUUUGUCAAAACUUGACAAUGGAAUGAACCGGUGGUCGCUGGUUGGCAGCUGCUAGAAGUCAUAGCAGUUUUAAAACAUAAUUGCAGCAAGUAAAAGAUUAAAACUACGUUGUGUACUGUUAACGACUUACAUUGACAAAAUGGUUAAGGACAGAGUUGAAAGAUGAAUCAAACUGUUCGACAUUCGAUUCGAAUUUGACUUGGUAAAAACUUAUUCCAAUUUGAUUUGUCAGCUAGUCAAAUCUAAUUUAAAUAGUAUUUAACUUUGAAACUUGAUAAAAAGUUUGUUCAAACUCAGUUUACUAAAUAAACAAGUCAAAUUUGAACAAAAUUUCAAACUCAUUAAAAUAAUUAAAUACGUUUGAAUACUAGGAUAUUCGAUUUAAUUAAAUGCGAUUGCACCCCUAAUUAAAGCAUGUACUUUUUUUAUAAAUUUAGGAAUCAACAUUAUACAUUUAAUAGCUAGCUAGAGGGUCAAAAAGUUAAUUGCCUUAAAAUUCUUUUAGCAGCCAUAAAGUAUAGUUGGAGGGAUUCCCUUGAAAUUGAUUAGAUUCUUCUAUGUGACUAAAGAAUUUCGGGUGUGACGUAUUACUAGUCCUACCCUAAAAAAAAUGGUAUUACUAGUCCUUUUUUUCUUUUUUAGCGUGCCCCCGCCGUGGAGUGUGGGGAGGGUGGUCUGUGCGAGAAUUCUAGAUGGGGUACAAGGUGCCAAAGUUCACCUUAUUCAAAGUAAACAACCUUCCAUCUCAGAUGUUGAAUUUCCUGGCAAUUGCGUAUAUAUUACAAUCUUUUACCAUGACUUUAGAGGACAGCUAAAUUUGCUUGCUAUUAAAUAAUAUUUUCGGUAGUCUAUAAAUACUCUUGGUCCUAACUGCUUCUUGCACCACAUAAUUCUUUCAAGAACUACCAAAACCUUCUUGAAAUCCCUCUUUUUCCUUUUAGUUCAUUUCCAAGAAACAAAUUGAACCAUCAUGGCCCCUGUCACUUCCAGUUAUGAGGUCACCUGCUCAAUCCCUCCUGCAAGGUUGUUCAAGGCCACCAUCCUUGAAGAGAAGCAUCUUCACAAGAUCUUGCCACAGGGCGUUAAGAGUGUCGAAAUCCUUGAAGGAGAUGGUGGAGUUGGCACAAUUAAGUUGACCACAUUUGUUGAAGGUAAGAUAUCAAUACAAAGUGAUUAUGUUCACAAAUUUGAAGUCUUCAAAUUGCUCACUUUUUUUUUCUUUUAUUUGGGAAAAGCUAAUGACUUUUUUUUUUUUUUUUGGUUGGGUUAAAUAUUUAGGUGGCGAGCUUAAGACUGCCAAACAGAAAGUUGAUGGAAUUGACAAAGAAAAAUUUACAUACAGUUAUACUGUACUUGAAGCUGAUGGAUUUAACGAUGUAAUCGAGAAAAUCUGUUGUGUCAUCAAAUUUGAACCCUCUGCUGAUGGAGGUUCAAUCUGCAAAACCACUAAUACAUACUACCCCAAAGGUGGUGCUCAGAUCAGUGAGGAACACGUCAAGGGAGGAAAAGAGAAGGGUUUGGGAAUGGUUAAGGCUGUUGAGGCUUACCUCCACGCAAAUCCUAC